GAUAAGUUUAGAGAUGUUAAGGCCUUUUGCGAAAGUCUUGUCUCGCCUAUUUGCUAUUGUCAGAAAUGAAGGCCAACAGAACCUUGGGGUUUGACGGUUGGAAAUCUAUGCAUGCUUAUUUGGUAAAAGCCUAUUCAAUUAUGUGUUAAUCUUAUUUAAAUAGUCAUUAAAUCUAAGUGGUUAGAUGGUUGGCUAUAUAGCUACCCAGUUUCCUGUUGGAAAAAUACUUUUGUGAAAGUUACAAUGAUUGACAAGUUUGUACUAGAUGUGAUGUAAUACUUGCUGAUUGUAUUGUACCAAAGUACCGGAGGCCAAAAUUUCGCCCUGGAAUUCAGUUCCUUCUCUUGAAGAUAAGUCACGAUAAGCCCCUUUUGUCAUCUUUACAAAUCUCACAAAACCCCUGUGAUAUCUGUCCACGCAAGACAGAUUCUGAAACUUUGGAGCGUUUCAUAUGGGAAUGUCUGAGCAGACAACUAGUUUGGGGAAAUGUUUCUUCACAUAGAACACAUCAAAGGGACUUUCCUGUAUUCAGGAUGAGUAAAGGUUUUUUAACUAAUAUCUUUCAUGUCUAUACUCUCUGUAGUAUUCAGCUUGCCAAGAAUAAUUUUAUCUUCAGAGGCUAACUGUUUGAUUCCACAUCAAUUUUAGCAUAGCAAGGUGGUGGUACAACAAUUGUGACUCAUCACAUGCCUUAUUAUAUCUCACUUUCCCUGCACAUCAAAAUUUUCACUGGUGUCCUCUCAUGGGCUGGCUAACUUUAAAUGUUGAUGGUGGUUCUCUACCAAACCAGAAUGCUGAUAUUAGAGGGCUAUUCAGGAAUCAUUGUGGUGAUUUGUUCUUGCUUUGGCAAUGAAUAUUGGUGUUAAUUCUAAUAUGGUAGCAGAACUACGUGCUUUAAGGUUGGGGCAAGAAUUACAGUGUCUCAAAAUAUUUAUAAUGUUUUAAUUGAAUCUGACUAAGAAAUUUUGGUUGAUUGCAUCGGGGAGAAACAAAACUGCUAGCUGAGGCCAUUAAUAUUGGACUGCCAAAGUUUGAUGGAGGAAAUUGACAACUGUAGUAUCUCUUUCUUAAUCCUUAUUAGGGGAAUGUAAUCAUGGUGCUGAGGUUUUGUCUAAACAUGCUUUGUCAUUAGAACUAUCUCUAGGUUGUGUGUUUUUCUAGUUUCCUUUCUACCGUUUCUUUUGACUGCACUCAGGCAGGACUUGUGUAUGCUUUUGUAAAGGAGGAAGGUUAUCUAAGGUAAGAACCUUAAUGUGGUGUAUAUACACCUCUUUAGUGAUUUGCAAAAAAUUAAAGGUUGAUAUUUGAUCUGGCAGAGCCCAAACAAGUUUGUAUAUUGACUGAAGUUGAAAGACAUUGGAACUGGAAUUGUAUUUCUUGAGUGGGAUAACAUGCAGUGUGAUUGCAUGGCGUACAAAAUGAGGUUGCUGGAGUGUCGAGUAAGCAAAGCUGAAUGCUAACACUUGCUGCUUUGCAGACAAAGUGAAAAACAAAACUAAAAGACUUGUCGUGAAAUUGUUGCUGUUUCUUGAAUAGUAACUUUGAUCAUGCCUGUUCUCGAAUUCAUUGUUCUGAACUGUCAUGCUACUCAUAUUUCUGCAUGCCUUUUGGUCUCCCUCCAUUUUUUCCUGGAAAAUUUUCCCGACUGUAGUUGCAGAUAAGAUCUGUUUUCAUAGAUGCCCUCUGUUGUGUAUCAGUUACGAGAUUUGGUAGACAAAAGCUACUGGUUUAAAUUAAGUCCUUUAGUGCCAUGUACAUGCAAUUGUACUCUGAAGGUGCAUGUCUGAACCAAGUUCCAAACCGCUCUGGAUCGAGUAGACGUUUUUCCUUCCUCCAUGUUAUCCAAUGACCUGACAAUGAGAUCUGAGCAAAGAGGGAUGAUUUUGUCUUGCAAAUAACAAAAUCUGCACAUUUUCAGGUCAAGUCGAUGGAAGUUUGACAUUCUUUUUUAGGAUAUGAACUGAUUUUUUGUGCUGAUCAGCUGCUAUACUGGCUCAUGAUUUGAAUUAGCCUGCCAAUCCUUUUGGACUUUGUGAUGGCAUUACUUACCAUUAGACUGGUUGUGUGCUGAAUUAGCCUGGUUGCAUAUUUGCAUUUCUCACGUUAAGAGAUGAAGAAAUAUAAAUUAAAAUGCUUUAGCCCUGUUUUUUAUGGUGUUGUUCAUUACAUGUUGCUAUCUUUUAGGGCAUUACCAUCAAGGAUUUAUACUUUAAAUCUGUUUUUUCACUUCUUUCUACUGCUUCACAUGGUUCUGUUUUUUUACUUCUUUCUACCCUGUUAAGUGUACAGCAUUAUCCCUACUGAUGAAAGGAUGCCUGCAUGGCUGCAUUGUCCUAAUUACCAAUAUGACAACUAAACCCUUAUCACUUAAAAUUAUAAUUUUUUACAAUUCCGAAAUUAUCAUUUCAUUCACUAAAAACAAUUUGCCAUAACACUAUUCUUUCAAUUAUUUUCCUAAUUCUUUUUAUAUUCAUUGCAUUUUUUUAAAAAUAAUUUGUACUGCAUUAAGUAUAUUUAAACAAUAAUGAAUUCAUGAAACCUAUCAAGUCAGGUAAUAGAGUUAAGAGUUCAUGUGUACUUCAAAACUGUUACUACACAGAUGAUUCAACAUAAUAGAUAUGCAUCCUGUAAAAGAAACUGAAAAUGCAAAAGAAGCAUCCAAUGAUCCAUAAAUUUGCAUAAUGUUUAAUUAGCUCCCAAAAUCUCCAAUGGAGUUACAUAUAAGUGCUGAAAUAUUAGCAAUUUUUGCAAGGAACAUGAAUAGUACUAUAACAAUUUUGAUUGUUAUAUGUUUUAAAAAAUAAAAAUUAAGAUAAGAAAAGGUGGGGAAAAAAAAUGAAAAUUACACAUUACAGAUUUUUGUUGAAAACAUUUAGAAGACAAGAUAAUUGGAAAAAUGGUUAAAAGAACAGUGCUAAGCAGAUUAAAAGUAAAGGGUUUUAAUGUCAUUUUCAUCUUUAGAGUGUGGGUCUAGGAUGUGAGGUUGUGGAUUUAGCUUCUCUCUAAAUUAAAAGGUAAAUAUCAAAGAAUUAAUUUCUUUUUUGUCUUAUCACACUAUAGAAAAUAGUCAUCACAGCUUGUCAGGGGAACUAAGACAAGUCACUGAAAAUCAAAAUAUUUCUAAUGGUAAAUCUUAAAACUUUUUUUUUUACCUUUGAAAAUCAAUUCAACAAGUCAGAAAAUCCACAUUUUUGUUUUCAAUACAUUUCUAGUGGUUUUCAAGAUGCUACCCAACAUUAAUUAAUUUGGAUUGCAUGGUGAUAUAAAAAUGGCUACCAUUUAUGGUUUUCCGUUGAACUUAUAUGAAUAAAGGGUAGGUUUUAAAACCAUAAAUAUUUUUUUUAUUAUGGUGCUUAAAAUACAACAGGAUUAUUCGUAAUUUUCCUAAACUCCAAGAAAUUUUUUUCGUUAUAAUUUUCUCUUAAGGUAAUGGAUAACUUUUUUUUUCCUGUUGACAUUCAUUAAUUUUCUGGGUGUUCGUCUGAAUUAUACAACAAUGAGCCCCAAAAAUUAUGAGGACCUAUCCAGCAGAGACAAUGUUAGUAUUAAUAGCUUAGCUUAGUAUUACUAAUUCUUUACUGAUACUUUGAAAUAAUUAAUUUGUGAGGCUGACAAUUCUUAAUUUUUUGAUGGCCCUUAAAUUUGAAGCUAUCAACUUCUCUUCCCUAUUCAAAAGUUUGACUAGCCCAUAACUUAAUAAAUUUGCUAACUUUUUAAUUUAUUCAUGACUUCAGAUGUUAUUGCACGCACUAAUUUAAAGGUAGAAAUAUAUUUAUUAUUUAUGUUUUAGUCAACACCAUUUGAAUUUCUAGAUUCAGCCCCUUCAGUUAAAGAUAUUUUGAACUGGAUUAAUUGUUGUUUAAACAAAUUUUAAUUAAGAAUGGAGAAGCGCAGUCUAGUUGGUAAGACGUUUCACCUGUAACCAACGGGUCAUAAGUUGGAGUAAUCAAGGAGAUAAGUAGGGAAACUAUUGAUUUUCUUUAGAUUGGAAUGUAAAAAAGAAAAAAAAAUAAAAGAACCCAUUUUGACUAAAAAUACUAAAAAAGAGAACACUUUGCGCAACGGCUCGGGCUGUUUGAGGAUGAAUCUGUUUCACUGAUUCCGUUUCCAAAAGAAUAAACAAGAAAUAUUCUGCAACAAAAGCAGCAAUUGAUUGCAUGCCCAAAGAAGUCAUAUAAACAGAUACUAAUAAAUCUAUGCAUAUACACCACUUUUUUUUUUUGGAUUGUAAAACAGAAAAGGAUCUGUUUAAAACAUAGUUGAGGUACUAGAUUUUUGAAAAGAUAAGAUUAAUUAUGGAGAAUGUAUAAAUGCAAGAAAAUGUAAUAAUUAUUACUAUCUGUAUAUACAUGAUAGGUCCAAUGAAAUUUAAAUGUGUUAACGAGUGGUUAAUAGAUACUCGUUAGAAAAAUUGAACAGACAAAUACGUUUGAAUAAUUAAUUCUAGUUCACUUUCAUUAAUAACACCCGAGUUCAAUCCACUUGGGCAUCUACGACAUUUUUAAAAGAUAAUUAACUUUUUUUUAUUUAUAUUAUAAACACAUUUUCUCAUCAUUUUUUAUUUUUUUUAUAAUUAUUUUUUUUAUUUCACAUGCAUUACUGCUAAUUUUAUUAGUCAACUUUAUUCCCUUCAAACAUAAAUAUAUGCAAUUACCCCCCUAUGAAAACUAGUCAAAAAGUUAAAAGCACAAUAAAAGCGAGCGCAAUUACAUUAUUCUCAUUAGGAAUGAGGCAAUCUCACAAAAUAACUUGACUCGAAGGAACCUCAACCUACAGAAGAUUGUGGAGGAAGCAAGAGGUUCAUACAAAGAGCUAAAGCCAUCCCCGCAAGAAAGUUUGCCAGAAGGAAGUGCUGCGCGACAUUGCACGGGUAGAGCCUCCCAAUAGGUUGGAAGAAACUAAUGACGUCGACGGGGCUGCGGCUGGGAAUCCAAGGCUGCUGGGCAGGAGGAUUCUCAGCAAACAUUGGAUUUAGCUACCAACACUGAAACCAUGGUUCAAAGUCGCGGUCGCGGUCGCGGUCGCGGUCGCGGCCUGGAACGUUCCACAUCGGUCUCGGCAUAUCGAUCACGGUUUCGGUGAGACGCAAAUUUUAAAGCAUUUAAUUUUCUAAAAACUGUUAAUAAUAUAAAAAAAAGUAUGCUAAACAAAAAUAAUAAAAAAAAACAAAAGAAAAUUUGUAAAACGUACUAUUUUUAUACAUAUUACACACAAUAAGUACUUUUAAUUAUUUAAAACAAUGGCAUCACAAAUAAAAUCAAAAUAACAUAGACCACAGUUUGGAGUCACUUGUGAAUGCAGAUUGCUAAUUUCCACCUGGGGAUACCUAUCAGCAGGAGGGAAGAGCAGGACUCAAACUAGCUCAAACUCCAAUUAGCUGAUGCGUCCACACAGCUAUUGCUCACCAAAAAUGACCAAUCUCACAAAUUAUUAGGACAAAAUUGAGUGCCCUGAACCCAACAUGAUGCUUGGAGGGAGGAUGCUGAAAAAGCAAUAGGAACAGUAGUGCAUGGAGCAAUGGAAUUUUAGAAUGAGCUAAGAAGCAUGCUCAUUUGCUCCCCCUCGUGAGAUUUUACAUGGACACCAGCAUGCUACGUUCUGCGUAAAGCCUCAAAAUGCUUAACAAUGUGGAAAGAUUAGGCAAGUUCAUGGGUCAAACUAAAGGAUAAAAUCCACAAUCAAUCUUGGAAAAAACAAACAAGAUAGAUUGGUAAAAAAAAAAUGAAGAAUCUAUACUGCAAAGGUCACUGGAUGAUUGAGCAGCCCAGCUCUAAAUUUAACUUAAUAGUCCUAACAAAUGAAGGAAUAAAGUAACAACUCGGCAGCAGUAAACUGUAAUCAACAAUGAAAAUUAUCCAAUCUGAAUGUUAACUUAAUAGUCCUAAUAAAUGAAGGAAAAAAGCAACAACUUAGUGGCAUUAAAUUGUAAUCAACAAUGAAAUGCAUCCUAUCUGAACGUGAAAUUACAUUAACAACCCCAAAAUUCUACUAGCACUCAUACAGAUACACUUAAUGGAGCAUUCCAAAAUGGAUACUCUAUCCUAAACCAAUCUGUAUAUUCAUAUCAAAACUUUCCCGACUGUCUGGGAAAGCUACAGUUUGCCCUUGUAAUGGAUCAGUUUCUUUUAAUAACUCUAAUGUCUUACAGCACCUUACAAGCAGAAUAUCUGAAGGUACAAUAAGAAAAUCAAUUACCUGCUGAAGCUUGACAAGGCAAGGGAGAACAAGGCAAAAAGGACAUGAAUCACAACCAUCUGGGUUAUCUCUGUGAAGGUAUGGCCAAAUGACUCCAUUGGGCACUAUCUUUUUGCAACAUUCUACUUUGUUUCAGAGGGCUGAAUUCCAUAGCUUGGCAAGAAGACAGAGUUAAGUUACCAUGAAGAAGAAUUGAAGGAAACGGAAAGGAUUACUACGUUCUGCAACACUACUAGUCCAAUAAUUUAGUAAAGUGAACGUGGACCCUUCAAAGUAAAGUGAAGGUACUACCUUCACUUUAACGUGGAAAAGAAAACGCAUCUUUUCACGUGAUAGUACUGUGUCCCUUUUGCUUUUUUUCUAUAGAUUUUUUGUUAAAUUCACCUUGACUCGAGAUGACUCGGGGUGACUCGGGGUGACUCGACCGUGACAACCCGUCGCGGUGACGUUUCGGCCGAUUUCUCGGCGAGAUGAAUAUCUCGGUCUCGAAUCGUCGCGGUAUCGUCUCGGCCUAGGCCUAGACGGUUACGACUCGGCCGAGACGUCUCGGUCUCGGCCGAGUCUUCGAACCAGAAACAGAGCUGUGGGCAUUAAUUUAUGGGAUGGAAUUUGCAUGGAAGACAGGGGAAAGAAAACUAACAGUUGAAUCAGACACAAAAGUGAGCAUACAACUGUCAAAGGAAGCCUCCAAGGAUUGCCCUCACCACAACCUGAUCAGAAAGGCGCAAGAAUGGUUGAAGAAGGAUUGGGAAUGCCAGCUGGUGCCAUGUUUGGAGGGAGAGCAACUCCUGUGCAGAUCAUCUAGCUAAAAAUGAGCCUAAAUUUGCCUCCUCAAGAGUUUGAUAUCAGAGGUGUAGCAUCACCCCGUCUAGUUCCAAUGUAAUGGCCAAUGGCCGUCCUUAGAACCAAAUAAAAGAAAAUUACAUUAUUGCUUUUUUUUUUGUUGAAAUUUCGUGUGACCUAAUAUUAUUUCCUUUUCAUUAUUAAAAGAGAUACAUAUUCUGUAUCGUAUGAGUUAUACAAUGUCUGAGAGUAGCUUAAAAAAAUUUAUACUUAGUAUAUCUUUUCAAAAUUUUUUUUCCUGUUAGUUUAAAUAUUAACUUGUACUAUGUGUUUUGUUCAGUUAAUUACGUUUUAAGUCAAACAAAAUGGAUAAAUGACACAAUACUAAAUUGCAAAUUUGAUGACCAAUUGGACUAAAUUGAUAGAUGAAAAUGACAUUAGUCUAAAAGUUUAAAUAAAGUAAAAUAAUUGAAAACUUUUAAACCAAAACCGAGCUUAGUAUUAGUGUUUGGCCUUCUUCCUGAAAUUCUGGCAAUAACUCCCCCCGUCUCCCGGCCCAUCUCUCGCCCCUUGCCCCCCACCCCCAGCCCUGCCCCAGUCCCCGUCCCGUUUCCCCCGCGGUCCCCCGCGAGGAAAGAUUAGAAACUUUUGGCUACUAAUUCCAAGCUAAGAUUAGAAACAUGAGCUUACAAUAUCCAUGAUCAUACCAGUGUAACAUGAUUUCUUGUCCAGGUAUCAAUGAGUAUCCAAUAACAUAAUGCACACUAAAGCAUGUAACAAGGAAGAAAUAUUACCUGUAACCCACCCCGUCCAAGUGAUGGCUUCAAUAAAUUGGCAAUAUCCCAGAUCCCUCAUUGCCUCGUCCUACUGUCCCAGAACCAAUAAGUGUGUGGACCUCAUCAAUAAAAAUAAUGACAUUGCUUGCAAUGCUGUCACAACAAGUUAAGCCACAGUAGACGACUUACUUCAAAUACACCAAAAAGAAAUGGGCACACCUGACUUUUUUAUGUCCUUAAGUAAUGUUAUCACGCGUCCUUCCAAUUCACCUCUCUCCUUUGCGCCUGCGAUUAAUUGAGUAGUUAUUAGAACUGAAGGGAAUGGGAGGCGAUGGCGGUGGCUUCAAAGGAGGAAUUGAGGGGGAUAAUAAGGGGUUUUGUUACUUUUGUAUAUAUAUAUAUACAUAUAUAUAUGUGUAUAUAUUUUUUUUAUGCGGGGGACGGGGCGGGUGUAUGUUGCCCCAUCCCUUGCCCCGUUUUAAGACGGGGGUAAAUAUUUUGCCCCGCACGGCGCCAUUUCUAUCCCCGCUGGCACUCGCCCUAUUGUCAUCCCUAAUUUUAUGAACUGGCCCCUGCCACUCUUGAGCCGUGUUUCUCUUGCUCACUGUCCUUGCAGUACGACUUACUUCUUUAUUACUAUGUCACAAUUUUGGGCGUCUAUUCUAUUCACCAUUUCUUCUGGUUCCGGCAUAUUCCUGGCCGGGUGUCCUGGCAGAUUUGACAGCGUCUUUCGUGUCCCUUUAGUUCUUGGACACGUAAAUGUUUCCGACAGCUGGUUCCGGCACAUUCCUUGCCAGGCACCCCCCGACAGAUUUUGACAGCAUCUUUCGUGUCCCUUUAGUCUUUGGACACGUAAACGCUUCCUACUAGGAACGGUCAACCUGCUCCUACCAUAAAAGCGAUCGAUUCAAGCAGCAGUUAACACCUGCUGCUAUUUUCCUGAGCCCGUCGUACUCCCCGGUUCUCGAAACAGUGCCACCACCUCGCUCAACCACCGCCAACCAUCUCCCCCAUCUGCAAAUUUUUGGUUACAGGAUUGGGAUAGAGUCUGUUAAUCUAUGUCCCUAAAACAGUUGGAUCAAUCCCAAAUGCCGGUGUCUACGGCUGACCUGGCUCCAAAUGUUCCCCAAGAACUCAUUAUCGACGUACUCUUACGCCUCCCAGCAAAAUCCGUCAGCAAAUUCAGGUGCGUUUCGAAGUCAUGGCGUUCUCUUCUCUCCGACUCUGUAUUCAUCAAAGCCUACCUCGAUCUCCACCUCUAUCACCCCCAAAAAUUUAUCCUCUCUUCUUCUACUCCCACAGAAAAAUCAACUUUGUCCACCCUAUCUAUAAAGGUGACAUAAUACCUUUUCCCACCUCUAGUCAUUAUUUGUUUUAAAUCACCUAAAUCAGUAUGAAUUAAAUUUAAUAACUCAGUUUCUCUAUGGACAGUUAUACAACUUUUCUUUGUUAUUUUAGCUUCUGCACAUAUUUCACAUUUGUCCAUAUUAUCAUUAAUACCAGAAAUUAGGCCACAUGAUUGCAUUUUCUUUAUAUAACCAAUAUUAACAUGUCCCAAUCUAGCAUGCCAUAAAGAAAUGGAAUCAACAAUAUAAGCAGAAGAAGAUGCAUUUUCAUUUAUCACAUUGGAAAUAUUAAGUACAAAAAGUCCCUGAUUACAAUAGCCUUUCCCAACAAGCACAUUAUUUCUUGUCAUUAUAAUUUUAUCAGAUUCGAAUGACACUUUCACCCCAACUUUUCCAAUCAAAGCCACAGAAACAAGAUUUGCCCGAAUAUUUGGAACAUGCAGAACAUCAUUAAGAGCCAAAGUAUUUCCUGAAGUGAGUUUCAAUAGUACUUUGCCCUUACCCAGAACUUUAGCAGUUCGUGAGUCUGCAAGGUAGACUACUUUUUCAUCAUCCCCUAUUGAAGUAUAGGAGGAAAACGCUUCUCGAUUUGCACAUAUGUGCCGAGUAGCCCCAGAGUCUACCACUCAUUCUUUAACAUUAGCUGCAAUGUUCACUUGAGAGAUGACUGCAGCAAUUAUUUCAUCUCCUUCGGUUAAAUUAACUUUAGGAGGAUUACCAUUUGCUUUGUCACCUUUAUUGUAUCUAUACAGGACAGCAUAAUGUUCUGAUUUUCUACAAUAAUGGCAAUUGCCUUUCUUUUUCUUAAAGUUAGGAAUAUUAGGCUUGUAAUUGGGAUUUUUUGGUCUAUUAUACUGGGACUUAUUGGCUUGCACAUAGCUACAAUACACAUCAAAUAAUUCAUUUAAGGGUGUUUGUAAAAUAGAGUGUCGACAUACCUUAUUGGCAUAUUGCCACGACUUUUGUAUCUUGACAUCUACAGUUGCAGCAGGUUGAGAUUCUGUCAGUGCAUAGGCCACUUCAUGAAUGUCGAGUAGAAAACGUAGUGCGACUGCAACUGAUCCUGAUGCAGGUUGCGAGGUGUUAACAUUGUCAGAUGCCAUAGUUUCUUAGAUUGUUGGAUAAAUGGCUACAACAAUGUUAACACUAUCUGCUUGAGUCGUGCGUAGCACUGUCCUAAGAAACUAUUUCAUGAAAUUGAAAUGUUUCCCCAGAAUUAAACAAGCCUUCUUCUAAUUGUUGCUAACAAGAAAGACAAGAUUUCUUAUUGUUGCAAACUAGAAGGACCAGAACUAGCAAAUUAAAACCAGCAGAUAUAUAUAAAAGACAAGAAGAUGAGAACAGAAUUAUCAAUAGGAUAUCAACUAACAAAAAUAAAAGAGAGAAAGAGAGAGAAAGAGCAGCUAUCAAAAGAUAUCAACUGAAGCUGCUGGGGUGAUUUUCUGAGGAGGGAAUGUAUCCUAUUUAUAGAUUUUAGAGUGAGGUGCACCCCUUCCCACUUCCGAUGUGGGACAAAAGACUGCAACUCUUCUCACUUCUCAAUGUGGGACAAAGAAAAUAAUACUUCUCAUUUUUCGAUUUGGGACAAAGAAUAUUUUUGAAAUACUAUAUAUUUUACAACAAUCUCCCUCCUAUUUCAAAAAAAUUCUUUGGAUAAAGGAAGAAUUUUAAAAGUACUCUGCUGGAUUUGGUUGAAAUGUAAUUAGAUUGGUGUCUUUUGGACUAUGAACCAAACAUAGAUUGAUAAAACAUGAUCUACAGAAUUAUUGGUGAAAUAUAAAUUUCUAUGAACCAAUAACUCUUGAUGUAUGACAGAGAUUUUAUCAAUCACAUUACAACCCAUAAUUUGCUGUUAACGCGAUUUUGCGUUUUUUGGCCAUGCGCCUGGCUGGUUAUUCAUGAGAGCUCUAAAGAUUUGACAAAUAAAUCUUAUAGGAGCGGCCCCACUCCACUCUCAUAUAGGUGAAUUCAUCAAGUGUGUAUUGCUUUAACUACACCUCCCUAAUGGGAUAUGAAUUCAUUAAGAGUUUUAACUCAUCCUCACAAUUACUCAAAUCACUUAUCUCUGGAGGGACUUAAAUUGAAGUGCUUUACCAUCAAUAUUGACUUGUUAUUACCCAUAUGAACCUACUUCAUGGGAUCACCAAUCACAUAGGUUGGGUUACCGUCUCUAUUGACAACUUGUUGGUCGAAGUCCCAUUUCUUUCGUAAUUUGAAGAAUCAAUUUUCUUCCUACGGGUUUAGUCAGAGGAUCGGCCAAAUUCAACUCUGACUUUACAUAAUCAAUGGAAAUAAUUCCAUCUCUAAGCAGCUACUUUACGACAUCAUAUCUCAAUCUCAUGUGUUGACUUUUACAAUUAUAAGAUUUAUUUUUUGCUAUGGCAAUCGCUGCUUGACAGUCACAAUGUAUGGACACAGGAGGCAACAAAUCCUUAGUUGAAGGAAUAUUAGCUAAGAAAUUUCUCAACCACUCGGCCUCAGUCCCUGUCAGUUCCAGAGCUACAAACUCUGACUCCAUUGUUGAUCUAGCAAUGAUUGUCUGUCUAGCAGAUUUCCAUGCUAUUGCAUCACCACCAAGGGUGAACACAUAACCACUAGUGGAUUUCGUAUCAUUUGAAUCAGAUAUCCAAUUAGCAUCACUGUAACCCUCUAAUACAGUGGGAAAUCCACUAUACAGGAUACCAAAAUUCAAGGUACCUCUCAAAUAUUUCAUUAGUCUGACUAAUGCAAACCAAUGCUCACGGUUGGGGUUAUGGGUAUAUCUACUCAGUCGACAUACAGCAUAAGCUAUAUCAGGUCUAGUGAAAUUCAUCAGAUGCAUCAGACUCCCAAUAAUCUGAGCAUAUUUAGACUGAGCAAUUGGGUCACCAUUAUUUUUCUUUAAUUGAGUGUUAGCAUCAUAAGGAGUACUCACAGGUGUCACAUCAUAAUUUUCAAACUUCCUAAGAAGUCUCUCUGUAUAAUGUUCUUGUGACAACAUUAUACCAUCACCUUUCCUUACGAUUUUAACACCCAAUAUUAUUUUGGCUUCACCCAAAUCUUUCAUAUCAAAAUUAGAAGACAAAAAAUAUUUAAUACUAUUUACAAUAUCUAGAUUAGUACCAAAUAUAAGCAUGUCAUCCACAUAUAAACUGAUUAUCACAUAUUGAUCAUUUAUAAUUUUGAAAUAAACACAUUUAUCCAUUUCUACAGACGAGAAUCCAUCUUUUAUCAAGACUUGAUCAAAUUUCUCAUGCCACUGUUUAGGAGCUUGUUUUAGACCAUAAAGAGAUUUAAUUAGUUUGCAAACAUUAUUUUCUUGUCCAGAUACAAUACAUCCCUCAGGUUGAAACAUAUAAAUUUCUUCUUCUAAAUCACCAUUUAAAAAGACUGUUUUGACAUCCAUUUGAUGAAUAACAAGUUUAUGGAUAGAAGCUAAAGCAAAUAAAACUCGAAUAGACGCAAUUCUAGUUACUGGUGCAAAUGUAUCAAAAUAAUCAAUAUUUUGUUUUUGAGAAAAUCCUUUUGCUACUAAACGAGAUUUGUACUUUUCUAUAGAGCCAUCAGAGUUAUAUUUUCUUUUAAAAAUCCAUUUACAACCAAUAGGUUUUGCACCAGGAGGUAAGUCUACCAAAAUCCAAGUUUUAUUUGACAAGAUAGAAUCAAUUUCAGAUUUAAUUGCUUCUUUCCAAAAUUUACACUCAGGAGAAGAAAUAGCAUCGGAGUAUGUUAAAGGAUCAUUAUCAACAAGAAAGGUUUGGAAAUCAUUUCCAAAUGAAAAUUCUUUUCUUGGCCUUUUUCUCCUUCUUAAUUCCUCAAUUGGAAUAAUUUCCUUAUUUAUUUCAACAGGUGCAUGAGAAAUUUUACUAGACAGUGGAAAAAUAUGUUCAAAAAAUUCAGCAUUCUUUGUCUCAAUAAUUGUAUUACAAUCAAGCAUAUCACUUCUUAACACAAGAAAUCUAUAUGCAGCACUAUGUUCAGCAUAUCCAAUAAACAUACAAUCAGAAGUUUUAAAACCUAUUUUCCUUUUCUUAGGUUCAGGCAACAAGACUUUAGCAAGACACCCCCAAACUUUUAAAUAUUUCAAAUUUGGUUUAUAAUUUGUCCAUAACUCAUAAGGUGUUUUGCCAGUCUUUUUAUGUGGGAUUCUAUUUUGUAAGUGACAUGCAGAUAAUAUAGCUUCUCCCCAUAAAUUAUCUGGAGCAUGAGAACUAAUUAACAUAGAGUUCAUCAUUUCUUUUAACGUUCUAUUUUUCCUUUCAGCUACUCCAUUAGAUUCUGGUGAAUAAGGUGGAGUUAUUUCAUGUAUUAUGCCUUCCUGUUCACAAAGGUUAUCUAAAGUUAAAUAUUCUCCACCCCUAUCUGAUCUAAUUCUUUUUAUCCUUUUAUUAAGUUGAUUUUCUACUUCAGACUUAUAGGAUAAAAAGGCAUUAUAAGUAUCAUCCUUAUUUCUAAGUAAAUAAACUUUGGUAUAUCUAGAAUAGUCAUCUAUAAAGGUGACAUAAUACCUUUUCCCACCUCUAGUCAUUGUUUGUUUUAAAUCACCUAAAUCAGUAUGAAUUAAAUUUAAUAACUCAGUUUCUCUAUGGACAGUUAUACAACUUUUCUUUGUUAUUUUAGCUUCUGCACAUAUUUCACAUUUGUCCAUAUUAUCAUUAAUACCAGAAAUUAGGCCACAUGAUUGCAUUUUCUUUAUAUAACCAAUAUUAACAUGUCCUAAUCUAGCAUGCCAUAAAGAAAUGGAAUCAACAAUAUAGCAGAAGAAGAUGCAUUUUCAUUGAUCACAUUGGAAAUAUUAAGUACAAAAAGUCCCUGAUUACAAUAGCCUUUCCCAACAAACACAUUAUUUCUUGUCAUUAUAAUCUUAUCAGAUUCGAAUGACACUUUCAUCCCAACUUUUCCAAGCAAAGCCACAGAAACAAGAUUUGCCCGAAUAUUUGGAACAUGCAGCACAUCAUUAAGAGCCAAAGUAUUUCCUGAAGUGAGUUUCAAUAGUACUUUGCCCUUACCCAAAACUUUAGCAGUUCGUGAGUCUGCAAGGUAGACUACUUUUUCAUCAUCCCCUAUUGAAGUAUAGGAGGAAAACGCUUCUCGAUUUGCACAUAUGUGCCGAGUAGCCCCAGAGUCUACCACCCAUUCUUUAACAUUAGCUGCAAUGUUCACUUGAGAGAUGACUGCAGCAAUUAUUUCAUCUCCUUUGGUUAAAUUAACCUUAGGAGGAUUACCAUUUGCUUUGUCACCUUUAUUGUAUCUAUACAAGGCAGCAUAAUGUUCUGAUUUUCUACAAUAAUGGCAAUUGCCUUUCUUUUUCUUAAAGUUGGGAAUAUUAGGCUUGUAAUUGGGAUUUUUUGGUAUAUUAUACUGGGACUUAUUGGCUUGCACAUAGCUACAAUACACAUCAAAUAAUUCAUUUAAAAGUGUUUGUAAAAUAGUAUUUCGACAUACCUUAUUGGCAUAUUUCCACGACUCUUGUAGCUUGACAUCUAUGGUAGCAGCAGGUUGAGAUUCCGUCAGUGCAUAGGCCACUCCAUGUAUGUCGAGUAGAGAGUAGACACGUUCUUGCCACCUUUUGAAGUUUUCGUCAACAAAAACCUCAAUUCUGGAGACGCCAGGAAAUGGCUUCGCAAAAGGUAGUGUCACUGCAACAGUUGCUGAUGAAAACUGUGGGGUGCUAACAUUGUCAGAUGCCGUAAUUUCUUAGAUUGUUGGAUAAAUAGCUACAACAAUGUUAACACUAUCUGCUUGAGUCGUGCGUAGCACUGUCCUAAGAAACUAUUUCAUGAAAUUGAAAUGUUUCCCCAGGAUUAAACAAGUUUUCUUCUAAUUGUUGCUAACAAGAAAGACAAGAUUUCUUCUUGUUGCAAACUAGAAGGACCAGAACUAGCAAAUUAAAACCAGCAGAUAUAUAUAUAAAAGACAAGAAGAUGAGAACAGAAUUAUCAAUAGGAUAUCAACUAACAAAAAAUAAAAGAGAGAAAGAGAGAGAGAGAGCAGCUAUCAAAAGAUAUCAACUGAAGCUGCUGGGGUGAUUUUCUGAGGAGGGAAUGGAUCCUAUUUAUAGAUUUUAGAGUGAGGUGCAACCCUUCCCACUUCCGAUGUGGGACAAAAGAUUGCAACUCUUCUCACUUCUCAAUGUGGGACAAAGAAAAUAAUACUUCUCAUUUUUCGAUGUGGGACAAAGAAUAUUUUGAAAUACUAUAUAUUUUACAACAGUUAACACCUGCUGCUAUUUUCCUGAGCCCGUCGUACUCCCCGGUUCUCGAAACAGUGCCACCACCUCCCUCAACCACCGCCAACCAUCUCCCCCAUCUGCAAAUUUUUUGUUACAGGAUUGGGAUAGAGUCUGUUAAUCUAUGUCCCUAAAACAGUUGGAUCAAUCCCAAAUGCCAGUGUCUACGGCUGACCUGGCUCCAAAUGUUCCCCAAGAACUCAUUAUCGACGUACUCUUACGCCUCCCAGCAAAAUCCGUCAGCAAAUUCAGGUGCGUUUCGAAGUCAUGGCGUUCUCUUCUCUCCGACUCUGUAUUCAUCAAAGCCUACCUCGAUCUCCACCUCCAUCACCCCCAAAAAUUUAUCCUCUCUUCUUCUGCUCCCACAGAAAAAUCAACUUUGUCCACCCUAUCUUUGAACCCCACUGGCAGCGCUGACAACGAUGGCGUUUCAAAAAAGCUCACGCUUCUAGAGAACAAAUUGACCGGCGCCACUAUUAUCGGUUCUUGCAAUGGGUUGGUCUUAGUUUCAAAAUUCAAGAGGAGGAGUCCCGAUACUAAGUACUAUUUGAUAAACCUCACAACCAUGGAGCUCGUGGGAAUACCCGCGAACCCUUUGGCUCCGUGGGCUCGUCGAGGUGGGAUUGCUUUCGGUUAUGAUAGAUCUAAUGAUGACUAUAAAAUCGUCAUGUUUUUUGGGAGUGACAAGGUUAACAACGAUGCUUAUCUCGAUGUUUUUAGUCUGAGGAGCGGAACUUGGAGGAGAAUCGAUGUUCUGUGUGAUCGUCCUGCUGAUGUUAAAGGGGUGUUUCUGAACGGUGUUGUACAUUGGUUGGGGGAGUGUGAUGGUUCACUGAUUAUGUCUUUCGAUUUGAGUUCUGGGGAAUUUAAGCCUCUGCCUGGGCCUUCUUCUCCUCCGGAAGAUUCUUUUUUCGAUCGUAUUGAAGUUUUUGGUGGAUGUCUAGCAGUGGUUGCCUUCACGGGUUAUUCUACUGAAGUUUCGAUGAUGAAUAGGGGUUUUUAUAUGGAUGUUUGGAUGAUGAAGGAGUAUGGUGUUCAAGAAUCUUGGACCAAGUAUAGACCUAAUACGCACCCCGAUACGUGUCUUUCUUUACCUGUUUGCCUAUUGGGGGAUGAUGAUCUUGUUCUGCAUGUGCAUCAGAGUUUGCACAAACUUGUUGUGCACAGUCUUACAGGAGAAUCUAAGAGGGACAUGUUGGUGACUGGCAUUGGAAAUGCGUUUAGGGAUGUAAAGGGCUUUUGCGAAAGUGUUGUAUCGCCUAUUUUGCGAAAGUGUCCGGUGUUGUAAGGGGUUUGACGGUUGGAAAUCUAUGCGUGGUUAUAUGCUAAAAGCCUAUAUUCAAUUAUGUGUUAAUCUUAUUUAGAUAGUCAUUAAAUCUUAGUGGCUAGAUGGUUGCCCAUAUCGAUACCCAGUUUCCCUUUUGAAAAUGUUUCAAUAUUGAUUUUUUCAUACUUUUGUCUAAGUUACAAUAAAUUGACAAGUUUGUAUUAGAUGUGUUGUGUAAUACUAGCUGAUUGUAUCAUACAAAAGCACCGGACACCAACAUUUCACCCUGGAAUUCUACUCUUUCUCUUGCAAACAACUGGUUUUGGGGAAAUGUUGCUUUCCCCUCUAUAUGUUUUACAUUAUAAAGAAAACACCCUGCCUGCGUAAUUUCUACUCUUCAUCUGUCUAUCGUAACCAGCACUAUCCACAGCUCAAAACUAGUUUGGGGAAACGUUGCUUCACAUAGAACACGUCAAAGGGAUUUUCCUAUAUUAAGGAUGAGUAAAGGUUUCUUUAACUAAUACCUUUCAUGUCUAUAUUCCGUGGAGUAUUCAGCUUGCCCGGAAUAAUUUAAUCUUCAGAAACCAACAGUUUGAUUCCACAAACAUUCUGAGCAUAGCAAGGUGAUAAUACAACAAUUGUGACUCAUCACAUGCCUCAUUAUAUCUCACUCUGAAAAUUUUCACUUGUGUCCUCUCAUGGGCUGGUUAACUUUAAAUGUUGAUGGUGCUUGUCUACCAAACCAGAUGGCUGGUAUUAGAAGAGCCCAAACAAGUUCGUGUGUUGACUGAAGUCGAAAGAAUUGGAAAUGAAAUUGCGCUUUUUGAAUGGGAUAACAUGUAGUUUCAUUGGAUGGUGUACGAAUUGAGGUUGUUGGAUUCCUUUUGUGGCUAGUGUCAAGUAAGCAAAGCUGAAUGCUAACACUUGCUGCUUUGCAGACAAAGUGGUAACUAAAAAGACUUAGCAUGGAGAAACUGUUGCUGCUUCUUGUAUAGUAACUUUGAUCAUGAAUAUUCUCGAAUCCAUUGUCCUAAACUGUCCUGCUACUCGUAUUUCUGCAUGCUUUUUGGUCUCCCUCCAUUUUGUUUUCCUGGAAUUUUUUCCCGACUGUAGUGCAGACAGGAUCUGUUUUAAUAGUUUGCCCUCUGCUGUGUCGUUUACGAGAUUUGGUAGAUAAAAACUAAUGGUUUAAAUUAAGUGUUUUAGUGCCAUUACGAGAUUUGGUAGAUAAAAGCUACUGGUUUGAAUUAAGGCUUUUGGCACUAACCGGCCGAUUCAAACGGUCGAACUACGAACCGAUCAGGACUCCAUUCUGAUUCAUACUUUGGAUUGAUUGAAUUUAAAAAUCGAUGAGAACCAUGUGAACUGUUCGAAUCGAAAUGAACUGUUGAACCAGUAUUUUUUUUAUCUAUUAAAUUGAAAAAAAAAAGAAUAGGUUCUUAUUAAUUCCAAAGACUAGUUACUAAGUGUCUCACUCACUCACUUUCUUCUCAUCUUUUACUUCUUAUCAAGUUUUCAUAUCUACUUUCUAGUUUCUUGACUUCAUCCAGAUUCCAAGUUUCUCAUUUUUUUUAACAAAGUUGCAAUAUUUAAUUCCUAAAUACAUGGUUUAAAGUUUAAACUCACAAUAUCUAAUUCCUAAAGAUAUGAAUUUUGUUUAAUUUCAGACUAUUGUAGUAUUUUUGGGUAGGAUUUAAAAUUAUAUUUUGGUAGGUACAAUUGAGAUUAAAUUUAUAUGUUUGUACUUACGAGAUUUGGUAAAUAAAAGCUACUGGUUUAAAUUAAGUCCUUUAGUGCCAUGUACCAUGCGAUUGUAUUCUGAAGGUGCAUAGUUUGAACCAAGCUCCAAACUGCUCUACCCGACGAUGAGAUCUGAGCAAGAGGAAUGUUUUUGCCUUGCAUAAUAGAAAAUUUGCACAUUUUGCCAUUGACUAACUUGAUGGAAGUUUGACUCUUCUUUUUUUUUUUCCGAAGAAUUGAACUGAGUUUUUGUGCCGAUCAGCUGCUAUGCAUGCUACUGAUUCAUGAUUUGAAUUAGCCUGGUUGUGUACUGAAGCUUAGAAUCUUGCCCUGCCAAUUCUUAGAUAAUGGCAUUUCUCAUAUUGGAAUUUGUAAUGGCAUUCCUUACAAUUAGCUUGGUUGUGUUCUGAAUUGGCCUGGUUGCAUAAUGGCAUUUCUCACGUUAAAUACUUCAAAGAUGGAGAAAUAUAAAUUUAAAUGCCUUAGCCCUGGUUUUUUGGUGUUGUUCAUGGCAUGUUGCUAUCUUUUAGGGCAUUACCUUCAAGAAUUUAGACUUUAAAACUGUUUUUUUUUUUUACUUCUUUCUACUGCUUAAAGGAUUCCUUGAUAUAAUUUCAGUUGUGAAUAAUUUGGGAACAUUUGUUGACUUCAACUUUGCAUAGUUAAACAAAGUUGCUUUUCUGCUGUUGAUUUAGUUAAGCACAUCUUAAUGUCUUAUGGAGAUACAAUAUGAAGUGGAUACAGUUGCAAAGCACUUGAAUGUAAUAUUGAAUAUACUUCUUGUAUGGAAAUACACUAUGCAUAUUGCAGAUGCAUAGAUACCAAGUGUUAACAUGUGACAGCACUUCAGCCUUGUAGAAUAGGUUGGUGUGAUGAAUUUCAAUUGAACAAUUUGAGUGUGUUUGGAUAGGAGAUUACUUAGGAUAAUUUUAAAAAAAAAUACUAUAGCACUUUUAUAAUGUGAUACAUGUGAGAUAAAAAAAAGUGAUUAAAAAUGUGUUUAUGAUACAAGCAAAUAAAACUGUGUAAAUAAUAAAAUACAUGUUUGUUGCUUUGAUGAUGCAUAUUUUUUUAUGGUAAUAUCUACUCUUUGCUUAAAUUGUAUAUAUAUUUGGUAGUGAAUUGCACCAAAUUACCCUACUGAAAAUCAAAAUAUUUCUAAUGUCAAAGCUUAGUUCUUUUACCUUUGAAAAUCAAUUCAACAAGUUUGAAAAUCCACAUCUUUGUUUUCAAUACAUUUCUAACAGUUUUCAAGAUGCUCACAGCAUUAAUUUGGGUUGCAUGGUGAUAUAAAAUCAGAUUCCUUUCAAUCUGAUUUUAUCCUGGGGAGACAGCUUUUGGAUAACGUUAUAAUUGCUCAUGAAAAUUUACAUUUCCUGACAAAUAAGAGAUGAGGCAAAAUAGGCUUCAUGACCCUAAAGUUUGACAUGUCUAAAGCGAAGAUAAGGUGGAAUGAAAAUUUCCAGGGAGAUUGAUGAUGAUGCAUAUGGGAUUCUGUCCCAUUUUUGUUAAAUGGAUCAUGGUUUUCUUUUCCACUAUUUCUUAUUCUUUUAACCUAAAUGGACAAAAAGUAGGACAUGUCACUCUUACUAGAGGGCUACAUCAAGAUGACCCUCUGUCUCCAUAUUUGUUCAUUAUCUGUGCUGAAGGGCUAUCUAAUUUACUCAAGAAAGCUGUGGAACCAAAAGAAAUCACUAGCAUAAAAUUUUGUAAAGAUAGCUCCAUGGUCCCUUGUUCUUUGUAGAUGAUUCCUUUUUGUGUUGCAAAGCGAGCAAGCAGGAAGAUGGACAGUUUGUUAUUUCCUUUUCGCACAUUUGAGUUUUUUUUCUUUUGUUUUACAUCUUUGUGUUUUGAGUAGUUUAUAGGAAGUAAUGAACCCUCAGUUUAGGGUUUUUAAAUUUUUUUUGCACAAAUAACAAAAGUAAAGAAGGUAAGUGAUAUUUCUAAAACCUCAGGGGUUCCAAGUAAUAUUGGAGAAACCUCAAGGGAGGUUUCUAAUAUUAUCUCAUUGGUUAAAUGUGCAUAAUUGGGAAAUUUGCUUGUGAUAUUUGUAUAAAGAUAUAUAGAUCAAUAAGGGCUUUCUUCUUCUUGUAUAUUUCUCUCUUUUUUUUUUUUAGAGAGUAUCUACUUUUUUACAUUGAUUUUUUUUUUUUUUUUGUACAAUCUCAACUAAUGACUAAUGAGAAAAUUUUCAUACUUUGAUUAAGAAAUUUUGAUACAAGUAUAAUAAUUGGAGAUGGAGUCCAAGGGUAGGUAAGUAGUUUUUAAUGAGCAAUUUUUAAUUAUAAUCACCAAUACUAUUGAAAUGUAAUUAAUUGGAGUGUUUUAUUUCUUUUAAUUAGUGCCACAUUGAAAUGCAAUAAUUUAAUUAAAAAACAAAAGGUUAAUUUGGAAAUAACAAAAACUAAGACAAAAAAAUGCUUACAUUCUCUAAUACCAAGAUUCAUACAUUUUAUAUAGUAAUGAACUAAUGAUAAUGAUGAAAUCCAAUGAUACUUUUGUCCUAGGUUUCCUGUUAUAAUACAUUAAUGUCAUUACUACGUGAAUAAGUAAAUAUACACCAAUCUACUUCAAACUAUUUAUAACUGAUGUUUAGUUCAAUUUCAGCGAACAUUCCUUUUUCCUUAAUUGAAUAUGAUAAAAAUACUGCUAUAAAUAACAUGGAGCAAAAUGGCAAGAAGCGCUAUCAUUUUCUCCAUUUUUGCGCAUUUUUUCCUUCUUCAACUUGAUUGCCCUGCUCUGCAUUGAGAUUCAGGGCUACACCUUAUGUUAGUGUAACACGAGAGGCUCUAGAUAUAUGAGAUAUCAUUCAUAUUCAUGUUUGGAAUCCUUUUUUUUUUUCAAAACAUGAGCUAUAUAUCUUGACUUGAAGUUGAAAAUAUUGUUUUAAAAAAAAUAUUUGCAUACUUAUGGUCAAUUUUUUCAAUAAUUUAUCCAGUCAUCUGAUUGAAGGUAGAAAAAAGAUUUGAUUAGGCAUUUCAAUGAUCAUACAACAUAUAAUUUUCUUCCUUUUCACAAAAUUCAGGGUCUCUCCACUUAAAUUAAUUACAUGCAUGAUAAAUAUUGGACAGAAAAAAUUAUUAAUAUGCCACUUUAUUUUAUCCUAAAGAUAAAAAAAAUUAUUGUAUGGUAAAAAUCAUGUCUUGUAACUUCAACAUCCAAAAAUCUUAAGGUCUUUCCUUCUAAACCAUGUAAAAGGGCAUUUUCAUCAACUCAACUAUUUUCACAGUUAACUUGAUGGGUUAGACUGAAAUGGAAGGUAAAGUGAGAAGAAAUAAACUUUAGAUGUAAGUACAACAUUGACCAAAUUCUUAAAAAAAAAAAACUUUGACCAAAUUCUAAGGGGAGUUUUUGUGCUUAACCCUUCUUUUUAUAAUGUUCUUUUCAUUCCAGUAAUUCACAAAAAAAUAAAUAAAAAUUUAUUUAUAAGAAAAAUUAUGCUUGGCUUUUUCGUGAAGUAUAUACAUUUCCUUCAAGGCAAUGCAUGUUAUGUAAUCACGAAGAAUUCAGAGGAAGUGCCAAACUCGUAUAAAUUUCCUUCAAGGCAGUACAUGUUAUGUAAUCACAAAAAAUUAUUAUAAAUGCAUUUCAUAAUAAAUAGACUGCACUUGUGCCCGUAUUCAGAAAUUUUCCCUUCACUAAUAUUUUCCCCUUGAACAUUUAUUAUCCCAAAUAACUUCGUUGAACAGCUUGUUAUUUGCUUUUCGCAUGUUUAAAUUUGUUUUCUUUCUUUUACUACUGCUCUCUUGUGUAUAGUGAGUAGAUAUAGGAAGCAAUCAAUCCUCAAUUUCAGAUGGACCAACACUUUAUAUGGGAUGAAUUCCUUGAUUUAUUUGUUAAAUUCGUUAUUUUCUUCUCUUCUAGUACCUGAACAGAGGCUUUUGUUUCUUAUUCCCUUUUUCUGUUUUGAUAGAAUGGGAAAAAUUAUGAUCAAUCAAGAGUUUAAAAAUUUCCAAAUCCCAAGGGUUUACUAUCAGGUAUGUAAAUUGAUAGAGACACAAAUCCUUUAAGACAUAGGUGUAAAUGUCAGUUACCCAAACUUAAAAAAAAAAAAAAAUUUUGAGUACUUAAAAAAGCUUGUCAGUUGGUCUGAAUUAUAUGGCGAAAUAAAGAUUAAAAUAAUGACAAACUAAGGAUGUUGAAUCAGGAAGAUUCCUUUUAUUUAUAUAUUUUGAUAAAAACUGGAACUAAUUUUUUCAAUCACUGCACGGAAAUUUAAACAAUGGUACAAUAUAAGGCGAAGCAGGGACCGCUUAGUAGAGAGAAUAAAUAAAUGAGAGUAUAAAGGUAAAAGUACACAGAUUUGAAAUAAUUACUAUAAUACUUUUUAUGAUGUGAUAUAUGUAAGAUAAAAAAGUGAUUAAGAAAAUGAAAAGGUAUGAUAGAAAUUGUAUUUGUGGUGCAAGUAAAUAAAUUUUUUUUUUUCAAAUCAUGGUUCAAGACCAAGUUUAGUGAGGUAUCCAUUUACAACUCAAAAUUGACCAAUUUAGUUUUUUUUUUUAUUUUUUAUUUUUAACAUCUUAUAUUCAUAGAGAACUUAUAUCCAAGUUUCCCCCCCAAAAAAAAAAAAGUCGAAAAGAAAAGGUGAAAUUUUCAAAGGAAAGGUACAUUAAAGUCUCCUCUUUUGGUCAGUUACACUUUACGUGCGAUGAAUUCCAAUCAAUUCUAACUUUAGAUUUGUUUGCCAACUUCAUUCUUUUUUUCUCUUCCAGUACACGAAUAGGGCCUUUUAUUUCCUUAUUCUCUUUUUUUCAGUUUGGGGAAAAAUUAGAAUCAAUCAACCAAAUACCUCUAGAUGUUUUUAUUGAUUUCGAGAUUUACAAAUCCCAAGAUUUUAAUAUCAGGAAUUUUGAGGCCCACCGAAGACUUGAACUGUUUUGUUUUUGUUUUUUUUAAUUACUACUUGUAUUAAUAUGAUAUACGCAAUGUAAAUUUAUAGAGAGACAAAUCCUAGAAGAUAUCAUUAACAACAAAAGAGUCAUUCCUUGUUUAAUAAUAGUGGGACAAUUAAAAAAGCAAGCAUUGAAGUGUGAGAUUUCAAUAAUAAAAAAAAAAGGACUUAAAAAGCUUGUGAAUUGGGGAAAACAAAUACGGAAACAUUUUAUUCUUUUUAUUUAUGCAUUUUGAUAAAAACUUGAAAUAAUUAUUCCAUUCUUCCUUCCGGCAAGUCAAAUAUUCUGAGGUUAGGGACACUGGAUACCAGGUUCGCAUCAAGCCCACUGAUGAAAUCUUUUGGCAUGUCCACAAGCUCAAGCGUAUCAAGAGUAGAUAUGUGCUUCAGCUCUUCCGGCAACUUCCGUAAUCUGUAGCACAUCCCGAUUCCCAGGCACCGGAGCUGUGGUAAUGCACCUUUCUCCACAUUCAUUUCCUCCAAAUCAGAUAGGCGGUUGAGCUCAAGGAAUUUCAAUUGGUGAAACCCCUGCCUAGAAAUGAUCAUAUGCUGUGGUACCCAAUACGCAGAUUCCAGUUUGAGGAACGACAGCUGUCCCAACUUCUCCAGUACUGGCAUUGGAUCAUCCUUGAGGAGUGUGUUUUUCAAAGACAAGCGAGAGAGAUUUGGAGGGAAAUCAGGAGGCAGCAUUGUCCAAUUGAAUAGCUCGAAUGGUAAACCACAGAGCUUAAGCUCUGUUACAUGAUGGAGCGUAGAAAGUCCAGCUAGAGAUGGCCACUCGCUUCCUCCAGUACGAUAAAGAUGUAACGUCUUUAGGCUUCCAAUCUCAGAUAAAUGCAUGCAGAGUUUGUCUAUCUCUGACCUGUCAUCCACCCAAAUCCCCAGUUUCGGAAGACUUGUCAGAGUUAUCAUGUUAUUGUGCAUAACGUCCUCAAAGCGUAUGCGUGACAGAGUCUGGAGAUUCCUCAAUCCUUCAAUCUUAAGAGGCACAUCACAUUCCAUCUCAUUCGCAUAUAGAUGCCGUAAACUUUCAAGCUUCCAAAUGAAAUUUGAAACUCUCACUGGCCAAUCAAAGCUCCAUAUGUCAAGAGUUUGUAGGUAUCGCAAGCAACCGACGGAAAGAGGGAGCCUUGGAAUGUAUCUUAGAAUUGAGGUAUCUUAGAAGCCUGACCUCACCAAUUUCUUUUGGCAAAUCAUCAUCCUUCUGAACAUUCUCAAGGUCUAAUAUCCUGAGCUUUCUUAAACUUUUGGCGCUAAGACUAAUGUUUCCCAUGUAACCGCGGACAUUGGAAAAAAGCAGAGACCGGAGAGGAGGGUUCGAAGACCCAAAAUAAUUUUUAUCCAGAGGGAGACUAUGAACAGCAAGGUACCUGGAUUUGGCUGAUAUUUCAUCAUCUCUGGUGCCAUGGAUCUGAAAAAAAUUUUCAUCCUCUGCCUUCCUGAUUGCAAGGUCUCGCAGCAAAUCAUGGACUCUACAGCUUUUAAUCCUCUCAUCAACAGUCAUUUCCGCCACUUGGACCAUAUUUCUGCUACAAAGUCGUUCCACUUCAUCAUAUGCUGCAGUUUCCUCCAAAUUUUUUGCAUCUCUUUUCUGCAUUAUUCCCUCUGCAACCCACAGAUGGAUCAACUUGCGCACAGAAAUCACGGAGUCUUCGGGAAACAAACCCAAAUACAAAAAGCAAAAUUUCUGAUUGGCAGGGAGGUCUGCAUAACUUAACUCCAGAAUUGCCCCUGCUUCACUAAUUGCCCCUGCUUCGCUCCGGCUCCUUGAUAGGUGUGCGCUAAAGUUGUUUAGAACUUCCUCCCAUUCGGUCUUCAACUUUUUCUUUGCCAGUAGCAGGCCACCUAUAACCGUGAUGGCCAGCGGCAGACCACCACAUCUUCUGGCAAUCUCUCUGCCUACUUCUUCCAUAUCCGGAGGACACCCAGCAUUAGCUCCAUGGCCUAAGGCCUUUUUGAGGAACAACUGCCAGCUGUCUUCCUGCCCCAAAGUUUUCAACUCAUACGGGUGUCUAUAAGCAUCAGCGUGUUGGGCAACAUCCCGUUUGCGACUUGUAAGUAGCACUCUACUUGAUGUGCCAACAUCAGGAAAGGCCCUCCUGGCAAGACAAUCCCACGCUGCUACCUCCCAUACAUCAUCAAGCACCACAAGAUAACAUUUGUCUUGUAGAUCUUUAUACAGCCUUUCUUCCAAGUCCUGCUCCUGCAUCUUUUCCAACAAUUCAAGUAGCUCUUUAGUUAUCGGAUUCAGUUGCUUUAUGAUUGUUCUCAGCAUCUCUUUGUGGUCGUAGCUUGAAGAGACGCAGACCCAAGCACGGCAAUUGAAUCUUGCCCUGAUAUCAGCAUAGUUAUAAACCUUUUUGGCUAGAGUUGUCUUACCAGCACCUCCCAUGCCGACGAUUGAAACCACACGGCGGCUUUUGUUCUCUUUCAAGAGUUCUGCCACCAGGGAUUUUGCCAUCUUCUCGAAGCCCACAAUAUCCUUGUCCUCACUAAUUGGAGAGGAUCGUCGGAGCCGUUGAAGCUCUUCUCCAUGUGUACUUGUUCCCUCUCCUAGAUUUUUUAUACCGUAUUUUUCACGGCUAUCAGCUAUGUCAUUGAGCCUCAUCUGUAAGGACUCAAUAUCUUUGCCUAUCUUGUAGAGGCUCACAAUUUUCAAGGGAUAAUACGUCAAUUUGGUGAUGAGUCCCUUGUCCUUUGUGAAGAACUCAACUUUGCUGGCGAAGAUCUCAAUGACAUCCUCCGCAUCGUAGGCCGCAGCUCUGAUUUCAGAAACCCAGUUGCGGAUUCUCUCAUCUUCAUCUUGCCUCUGAUCAGCAUCUUUCAGGAAACACCGCAUCCGGACCAGAUCAUUUUUGAGUCUUUCAACUUGUUGUCGAACAUCUUUCAGGAAAACAAUUUUUUGAAUCAGCAGAUCGCCAGUUCUCUCAAUAACAAGAGAGACAAUAGUGUCAGCCAUCGAAUCUAAGAGGGCUUUGCUUCUCAAUAAAAGAGCAAGAACCAGAAAUGGAGGAGAGGCUCUUCUCUUUCAAGUGCAGUUGCAAAGCCAGAUUAAUAUCUGCAUCUGUUUUUCUACACAUUUUUAUAAAGCAGAAGUGGCUACUGCAAAGACCGUAUAUCUUGUCGGUAGGUAAGGAAUCAAUGACUUUACAAGAAAUCUAUAUAUUCAGUUUGUACUUAAAAGAUGAUUCCAAGCAUAUGUUCUUUAACUCUGCUUUUCAAGCACUGGGUAGGGGAUUUCACGAUAACAAGUUACCUUUAGCAUAUUUUCAACACAACAUAGCCAAGUUACCUUUAUAGAGGGGAAAAAAAAGGUGUAAGAUUCCUAUCUCAAUCUUCUGCCUUUUUCUUGAUUGUUAGUUUCUUUUUCUUUCUUAAACUUGAUUUCCUGAUUUCAUUGAGAUUCUGGGCCACUAAAGAGAAUGCGUCACUCAUAAAACUUGCCAAUAAAUUUACAAGAUAUCUACAUUCAGUUUGUGCGUAAAGGAUGAUUCCAAGUCUCCAGCCUCCUGGUUCGGUGUCGUUUUAACUGAUCUUGGAAGAGCAACGACUCCAGUCAACAGAAAGCAGGUUUUGAUUUAAAUGGAUUUACAUUAAUCAAGUUGUGAGAUGUGGGAAAUUCUCAAAAAACAGAAAAAAGAAGGGCAGAUUGCUUGUUUUAGGAGAGUGCCAUAUAAAAAAUUAUUUGGAACGCAAAAGGCUACAGUCAACUUUAUGCCAUGUUUCCAGGUCCGAACAACAAUAGCUUAUACAGUUUCUUUAGUCCAAAUUUUUUACCCUUCUCUUUUAAGAAUCGUAAAGCAGCCCAGAAUUCAAUUCUCUCUUAACCUGGAGUGCGAGCUUCUUUAAUACCAUAUAUAAAAUUCGUUUCUUUGUCUUUCUGUUAAACUUUCAGCUUUCUCCUAAUAGUUUGUGAAGAUAAGAAUCUUCAACUGAACACGAACAAGUUAUCUUUAUAGUGGAAAAAAGAACAUGAGCAAAGAAUUCCUACCUCAACAUUUAAGUCAAGUUUUAGUCAUUUGCCUCUGCUUUUCCUUUUGUGGGUCAGAGUGGAAGCCUGGCCUCAUCAACACUCCACAUUAUUGGUGAUGAAAUCUAUUGCAGUGUCACUAAUCACAAUGCCUUGAAAGAUUUCAAAGAAUUCCUUUGCAGUACAUUGGCAUAAGGGUUGCAAGAUAAUUAACGAUAGAACUGAAUCUUAAUGUACCUGUUAACUAUGUUAGUCUUGACAGUAAAAUCUGUCAUGCAGAACCAGCUCACAUGUGAAUUAGUGUGUGAAAAAAAGGUAAUGAAUAGAUAAACAAGUAUUAUUAUCCUCUAAAAGUAAUAAACUGAGUGGAGUAGAGGGUAAAGCUAAUGUACUAGUUACGAACAUUUCAGUAGACAAAUAUUUUAGAAAUUCAUUCGCCAAUGUUUAAACCAUAGAGAUAUAACGACGGAAAUUCAUUCGUCAAUUUUGAGUUCUCUACGCCAAGUUAUUAUCAAAUUAUCCAAGGUUGCGCAAAGCUAACUGUUAGCUCGGACUUGGUCGAAAUUCAAAGUUUUCUUGGCGUUAAUAUUUUGAAAUCCAUUCAAUUUCUUGUGUGUGUCCAUGACUAAAUCUUCAACACUAAUAUAUUGAAGAAAGUGCUAUACUUAAACUAAAGGUCAAUUUCACUUUGCACCCUUUAAUUAUACCUCAAUUCUCAUUUUGAUUCCUGAAUAUUUUAGUACUUAAAAGUAUAAAAUUUAUCCCACUUAAGAAAAACUUGAUCUAUUUUAGUCCCUAAAGCAUAAACUCUUCUUUACUUCUUGUAUAUUUUGAUCCUUAAAGUGUAAUAGACUUUAUACUUAAUUGGAAUAGACUUUAUACUUUAGUAACUAAAGUAUAAACUAAAAUAUACCUAAAUUCUUGUUUUGAUUCCUGAACAUUUUAGUAACUAAAGUAUAAAAUCUAUUUCACUUUAAGUAAAACAUGUCCUAUUUUAGUCCCUAACCUAAAGCAUAAACUCUCCUUUACUUCUUCUAUAUUUUGAUCGUUAAAGUGUAAUAGAUAUUAUACUUAAUUGGGAUAGACUUUAUACUUUAGGGACUAAAAUGAGAUGAAUUUUUCUUAAGUGAUUAAAGAAUUCCACUUUGAAAUUUUGGAACCAAAGUGUAAAUCAAGUUAUAAAGGGGCAAUCUCUUAGAGAACAAAAAACAUAUUGAAUGAUUUGCAUUUUGAUCACCUAUUGUUUAAAAUUAUUUAAACAAUACCCCAAUUAAUAAAUUGUUUUAACCACAGAACUUUAUAUACUUGGGUUUCGAGUUUUAAAUCCUAUUCAUUUAACAAAUAAUUGUACGCUAAAAAGUUGACAUACCUAACUCUUGAAUUGAAUGUUUUGAAACCAAACCCAACCCACGCAAUUCAACUAUAAAGCCAAUCGCUCUAGCCCUUUUCUGGUCAAGAGCUAGAAAACCCAUUUACCUGAAAAACCUCUUUCUUUACUGAGCCCAAAAAAAUCAGGAUGUCGGCUUAUGGAUCCUCCGGCCCAGAAUGGGUUUGCAAUAUUAUUUCAAGGAUUUUUUAUCUGGUCCACCACGUGCAAAAUGGGCCUUUGACCUGUUUACCUCGUUUUUUUCCCUUAGCUUAGCAAGUGCAAUGGAGAAUUGUUUUUUUUUUUUUAAAUGGUUUUGUUAUCCUUUCUUUUAUGAUUUAUCUUUGUGCAUGUUAUCCUAUUAUCUUAUUAUUAUUUUUUGUGAUUCUUUCAGUUGAACUAUCUAUUUGUUUUCAUUUUCAUACUUGUCCCUUCAAUUCUUCUAUGUUUUACACAUUAAGAAAAAUAAAUUUAUAAUAUUGAUCGGUGUAAUAUAUGUUAUAAAUUUAUAAACAUCUUUAAUCGAUUUUUAUUUUGUUACCUAAAUAAUUGUAUUGUAUAUCUCUAAUAAGAAGUCACCACUUAAGAAAUCCCAUCUUCUUAAAGACUAAAAUUUGGAAGUCUUCUUGAAUAAGUUCUUCAUUAUGAUUAACUUAAUUAUUUUUGUGAAUUUUUUAUUAAUAAAAAUUUAAAAUUUUAGGAUCAUAAUCCUUUAAAGAUAAAUUUAAAAUGAAAAUCAAUAAACAAAUUAAUUCUAAUAGUAAGAGAAGCCAUAGAAUGCAUCUCUGCAGAUUAAAAAAGAAAAAGAAAUGUUUUACUCAAACAAUCAAUCGGCCGUGCAUGAACAUACACAGCAGUUUUUCUAUUGACAUAUUUUAAACCAAACAUAUUUAAAAUUUUAAUAGUUUUAGAAAUUGAUUUAUUAUUUGAUACCUAUAUUAUAUUUGAUAGCACAGUUGAUUUAGAGUUGAGUCAUGUUUUAAUAUUAUGAUAAGAGUAAAAUUCAUGGUUAUGUUUUUCCUAUUUAAGGACUUGGAGUCCCACUUCUAAGUUGAGAUACAAAUUCUUAAAUCCGUUUCCAGAAAUUACUAAUUCUUCUCCUACAUAAGCAUCAUCCAAUAUGAGAAUCGAAAGAUGUUCCAUCUUCUCCAGUAUUGGCAAGGGAUUUUCUACAAGUCUUGUACCACAAAACCACGAAUGAGAGAGUUUAGGGGGAAAACUAGAAGUGACAAUAUGGAUAAAUGGUUCAUAAUUGGUUUUGACUUAAUGGAUGGUGGAUGAAAUUUAUCCAAUCCAUUUAGUUCCAUUUAAUUCUUUACUAACUAAGUGGCAGUCCGGCUGCGACCCACUUCUUAACUUUUAUGCUUUCCUUCUCUUAAUUCUUUACUUGUUCCUGGUUUAAGGGGCUAACCCUCGUCCCGUCUGGUAUCAGAGCCAGAGGGGGAAGUGGGGUGAUGGCUAUCUUUCUUUACUUAUUAUGAUGUUGUUAGCGUAGAUCUACAAGUUUAUAUCUUCCUGAUGAGAUUUAUUAACUUUGUGUUUACCAUCUUUCUUUACUUAUGCUACUGAUAGUGUAGAUCUACAAGUUUAGAUCUAAUUGGAUGAGACUGGUUAACUUCGUGAUUACUAUCUAUUCAAGCUUAUUAUAAUUUUGAUAGUUUUGAUUUCAUGACUUUGGAUCUGAUUGAAUGACAUGGAUCCAGUAAGUGCCAACGUCCGGUCCAGGUAAGACCAUGAGGAAUUUGGCUCUGUAGGGGCGUUGAGGUUCUUAGGGUGUGAUGCUCUAGGACAGGGAAGUAUCACAAGAUCAUAUCCAGGGAAAAUGGGUUUUUACUAUCAAUCUUAUGAUUUUGUUUGGAAAUAUGGUCGUCAUGCAUAGUUAAUCUUUCUCAAAAGAUUUAGAUCUAUUCUUGUAGGUUUAUUUUACUAUCUUUAUUAUGAUGAAAAUAUGGUCGUCAUGUAUAGUUAAUUCUUCUCAAAAGGUUAGAUCUUUUCUUGUAGGUUUCACACUAUCCUUUAUAAUCUGAUUAAGAAAAAUAGUUUAUCCUCCAUGGAUCCCAAAGGAUUCUGUGCCAAAGGGAAGGGGAUUAUAAGUUUUUAAAUUAUUUGAAUAUUUGUUUAUUUUAUUUUGGGGAUUAUAAGUUUUUAAAUUAUUUGAAUAUUUGUUUAUUUUAUUUUCUUGUUUUAUUUUCCAAUGACUUCUCUAGUUAAAACAUACUUUAUUUCUUCUAGUUCUUCUUUAAACAACAAACCUUUAAAUGAUCUUCAAACUAGAAUUGCUCAAAUUGAGCAGUCAAUUCUUAUUCAAAGAAAACUAGAAAACAAACCUUCUAAAUUCCAGAUUAAUGAACAACACAUUAGAUCUGAAUUCUUUGCAAACCACAAUCAUUUUAAAAGAAAACAAUUUUUUGAUAAAUACCAGGGAGAAGCCCGAAAAAAUAUACAAGAAAACUUUUAUGACUUUUUAACAAAAACAAAGCAAAAUAUUCAUUUCUUUGUCUGGUAUGAAUCUCAAACAACUAAAGAGUCUGCACCAAAACUCAAAAAAUCAGUUCAAAACAUCCCAAAACCUGCAUCCUCUAUGUCAAAAUCUCAGGGUUCUACUUUAGAUCCCAUAAAUCCAAGUCAAAAUAAGCCAAAAGUCAUAGACUUAUCUCAAACAGAUUCUACACAAGAACCUUUAGAUCUAUCCAUAGAUCUGCCUCAAGCAACCAAGACACUACAAUCCUCUCAUAAACUCUCAGAAUCCAUAGAUCCAUCAAAAUUAAUUCAUAUAAACCCAGCAGACAAAGAUUUACCAGAUUCUCCCGUAGAUCUAUCAAACCCAAUAGAUUUACCAAACCAAGAGUUUUUUGAAGCUUCAAAACUUUUGAUUUUCGGACAAUCAAUUGAUAAUUCUGUUAAUUCUACUAGUCUUGAUAUUGGAAAAGACAUAGGAAAUUCCUUAGACAUAGGAAAUUCCUCAAUAAAUGUCUUAAAUAAAAAUCGACCUAGUAUCAAACCUAUAACUGAUAGAAAUAUUCAAACAAAAAUUGAUUCCUUCAAAAUAAUUAUUAAAGAAACUGUUGAAAUUCCUUCUUAAUCUUUUUCCAAAACAAUGGUUAUUAGAAAUUCACCAACAAAUAUUAUUUGUUUUAAACAAGAAAACCAGUUAGUUGAAACCCAGUCAACUAAAGAUAUAAUUCAAAAUUCUUUACAAAUAUUUAUUUCAAACUUAUUCCGUAAUUUUAAUAUCCCUUCCAAUAAUGAACACAUUUCUCGUAAAAAUUCAAAAGAAAUUCCUGCAAACAAUAAUCAGGAAGAAAUUCCUAAAUUAUUUAUGUAUUCCUUCAUAACUUACAAACAGUUGCAGCUUGACAAGCUAAAGGUACUUAAUAUCGAGUACCCAAGCCUCAAGAUGGAAUCUUAUACAGAGGAAACAUGGUUAUCCAGCAAAUACAAGGGACAAACUGAGAAGACAUGGAUCUUCAACAAAUUAAAGGAACAACCCCAAAUACAAGGAGUAUCUGGAAAAUCAGAUCUGACAAAUCUGGCUAAAUCUCGAAUCAAUAUUCCAAGAUCUAUCAGACCUAGCAAAUGGGGUCAGAAAAUCCAGAAAUUCAAGAAAAAUCAAUACAUCCAACCUUUAUAUUCUUGGGAGAAUAGAAUUGAUCAUCCUUCUAUUCAAACAAGAAAUAAAUGGCAAGCUAUUAGACACAUCCGGCGGAAGAUUAGACGCAUCGGGCAAAAACCUCAGACAAAAUCUUCUCUGAACAAACCAGUCACCAAACAAGAGGUUCAGGCAGAGUCUGCUUCAACAUUGGUCAUUCAUGAAAUUGAAAUCAGGAUUGACCAAGAGACAGUCUAUACCCAUGCCAAGAAGAUUCUUACAAUCUAUCCAGAAAAAUACCUUUUCAAUCUUUUUACCCAAUUCAUCCCAAAAACUCCUCUUCCAAAUACCUACUUCUCAAACUUACUUUUCAAACCUCUAGAAGACCAAAAAUUUUGGAUUGAACAAAACUUUCCAAUUCCUUUACCCAAACAAGAAUUCAAAAUUCAAAGAACUUCCUUGAUCAAUACCAUACAAAACAAUCAAAGGUCUUCUAUUCUCAAUAAAUCGUAUUCCAACUAUUUCUUACAAAAUUAUAUUCCCAACCGGAAAAACAUCCAAAAUCUAUACCACUCUCAAAUGAUUCAUUCUGAUAUUUUCAGAAUGAAACCCAAUAUCCUUCAACACUGAUACAAUAAGGAAGACAUCUAUGAAUGGAGCAUAGAUGGAAUAUUCAGAUAUAAUCUUCCGAUGACAUCUCAACAGAUGACAACCAUAGCUAUGUUUAAUCAAGCAUUACAUGGCGGCAAACAAUCGACCGUUCAUAUCCUAUUGAUAGGAUUUAUUGGGCAAUUCAAUGGAUGGUGGGAAGAACAUCUCAUCAUUAGAGACAGAAGUAUUAUUCACAACAUUCUAGUCACAACCAACAAGGAUGAAUCUGAUCUACAAGAUGGGAACAUCCUGCCAGAAACAAUGUUAUUCAAUAUCACAUCAAGUGGAUAUAUCCUAGGUAUAUUCAUAUCUGGUGAUGAUUUUGGAAUAGCCGAAGGGAAUUCAUCAAAGCUAUUCCCAAGCUCCAGAAGAUAUCAACAUAUAUUCCUGACAAGGUCAGACGGAGACAAAGUUCACAACAAAGAUUUUUCCAAAAGCCUUAUUGGUUCACAAUAUGUGAACGAUAAGCCUUGGGAAGAAACAACUUGUGAACAGGACUAACAAGCAGGCUGGUUUCCCAGACAACCUGCAAAAGAUCAGUUCCGAGGAAGAAAUCUUGGAUCCUUUUACAAACAGUUUGGGCCAUUGAGUUACUAUACAAGGCCCAAUAAAAAGUCCAAGUCUAUGAGUCUUAAAACCCUUUCUUCUUCCACAAAACAGCUAACCCUAUAUAUUCCCAAAAUUCAUCCACCCAGAAACACAACCCAACAUUUCCAAUACAAUCAAAUUUUUAAUAUUUUGAGACCAGUAGCCCAAUUGUCAAAUCCUCUUAUCGAAUCAGAUAUUAUCAAAUCUGAACGAAAAGAAGAUUAUGACAAAUACAUAUCUUCUUUCCCAAUCAAUAGUGAUGAAGAUGAAAAAGAAGGACAUAUGAUGACCAAAAAUCAGAACCUUCUUUUCAACGUCAUUAUAGACAUUCUUGAAACAAAACAACCAUACCUAAACCAAAUUUCGGAUCUUUUGAAAGGUCCUCUCUUUGACAUUCUAGAAAAAAUUCCUAGACAAAAUCCUUGUAAACCAAAUACUGAUGGUUUCCAAGAUAUUCUUGACAAAUUCUUCAUUCAACCCAUGAUCUUACAAAAAGAAACCAUUAACCCUGAAAACCUGAAUAACAAUUCUCAGUUAUUUCAGGAAUAUUCGAUCCAAAUACGAUUACUAAUUAUUGGUAAUUAUGUAAUCAAAACAAAAGCCCUAGUUGAUACAGGGUCAGACCAAAACUAUAUUCCUGAAAACCUUAUUCCAAUCCAAUUUUUAGAAUUCCUUAGAAUAACCAAUAAUCCUAAACUUGAUAUUGAAUUCAAAUUUCCAAAUAUACAAGACCAAUUCUCAGAUACCUUCUUCUUGACUGAGUAUUUGACUAACCAUAUCAUCUUAGGAGCAUCAUUUCACAAUCAAUUGGCUCCUUUCCAAAUUAUCUAUAAAGGGAUAAUAUCCCAAUUUUUUAAACUAACUAAUUCUUUGUGCAGAAACAUGACAGGUGAAGAAAGUUCAUCAUCAUAUAAUUCAGAAGAGAAAAACUAUCUCUUCGAUGGAUACUCUACUUGGGAACAAACAUCCCACGAAGAAAUAUCCAGCAUUCAAACUAAUGAGGGCCAAACAUCAUCAAAUCAAAAUCAAACAAGUUCGGAGUGGAUCCCCGAGGAAUCAUCUUCAAACUGGAUACCUGCGGAAUCUACUUCAAAUUGGGUACCCAUGAAACAAUCUCAAAUCAAUUCCAAGCAAUUGAUGAGACUUCAACAAUAAACUGGAUUCAGGAAACUGAAGAAGGAGAAAAUCCAUUCCUAAUUCCUGAAGAUCCUACUACUCAAUCCUUCCAAGUCAAACUCAGAGACGAUGCAUUCUCACGCCUCUGGACAGAAUAUCACUACUUGGAAAACGAGCACAAAGAAUCCAGAAUCAGAAACUUUGAUAGUAUAUUCUUUAACCAAGACACCGGUGAAAGAAUUCCUAUCCACCAUAUACACAAAUACAAUCAUGUUGGAGUAAAAGAAUCAAAUUACUCCAUACAAACUUUGAAGGAACAAUGUGUCAUGCAGAGAAGAUACAAACAAAGAAUGGUUCUCAACAAGUAUUUACUUGAGAAACGAGGAGUAAAUACACGACAUUACAAACAAUGGAUCAAAUAAGCAUUAGAAGAAUUAUCAGCAAUGAUUUGCUGAACAAAUGCUUCUAGGAACAUUCAAGCUGACUCAAUCGGAACAAAAUUCAGAAAAAAUCAUUUUUACUGUAGCACCGGAAGCACUGUAGCAAUCCGGCAAGUUACUGUGCAAACACGGCAACAAAAGACAAACGUUGCACUAUAGCGGUACUGUAGCAACACUGUAGCGGGUACUGUAGCACUACGGAAAUUUUGCUAUAAAUACCCCUCAAACCCAACACAUUCCACACACCUUUCAUACACCAUUUUUUCAAGACAACUUCUCUCUCUAGUUUGAAAAGACUCUCCUCCCUCUCUCUACAAACAAGUUUUUUAGUUUUUAUAUUUUAGUUUCUAGAUCAAACAAAGGAGCAAGCCCUUGUGCGAGCUUCAUAUCUGUAAGCUUUCUUUUCUUUUCUUGUAUUUUAAUUCAAUCAAAUGGUUGGCUAAGCCACCUAUAUUCAUAUUCAUAUACUUGUUUUGAUUAUACUAACAAUCAAUGAUCGGUUAUACCGCCUGAUCUAACAUACUAACUUGUCUUUAAAUAUUAUUUAUAUUCUGUUUAUACAUGGCUGGUUCAACUGCCUAUACUAACUAAGUGGCAGUCCUACUGCGACCCACUUCCUAACUUUUAUGCUUUCCUCCUCUUAAUUCUUUACUUGUUCCCGGUUUAAGGGGCUAACUGACGGGAUUUUUUAUAUCAAUGCAAGUUCAAUUCCGAUUUUACACCCGUUGGACUGCAAGUAUACAUGUCGCAAUUGUAGUACAAGAUGUGUAUCGGGUCGAUCCCACGAGGAGCAAUUAAAACAAUUAUUAGACACUAAUUUACUCUAUUAUUUAGACUCACAAUAAAUUUGAGCAAAAAAUUCAGAAUUUAAUUCAACUACAAAAAUUCUUAACUAGAUAAAUGCAAUUUCACAAUAGGAGUAGAAUUCACUAAAUAUUAAGAUCUAGGGAUGUAAAUUCCACAUAUAACACAAAAGAUCUAAAACGAAUGAAUUUAACACUUGUUACUACUCUUGUUUGACCAAGGAUUCAUUUCCAACAAUACCAAAAUCACAUUCUCAUGAUAAUAAUGGGUUAAAACAGAUUAGUUUUUCCUAAUCUCUUGGUAAAUACUAAAUCUGUUUUAUGCACACAGGAAAUGUAGAUUUCAUCCACUUGAAUGUAUUUCUAUUCUCAUGAAUAUACUACUCAAGCUCUACUUAUGUCAUUCCAUUAUUGUUACCAUUUCUCAAUGAGUAAAAACAACUAUAAACCUGCUAUUGGUGAUCAAACAACAAUAAGUAAUCCAACAUACACAAGUAGAUAGGUUAAUACAAGAUAUAACAAGUAUAAAUCACAAUCACUUCAUAUCACUUGGCCAUAAGUUUCAUCUACUCCCUAGAUAAAGGAAAUUAGCUACUCAUGAAUGAUGAAACACUCAUAACUUCAUUAAUGUAAAUCAUCAUGAGUUACAAAAACAAAAAGAGUAAAGAAAGUCUUAGCCAAAAUAUGCUGAAGCCUUCCAAAAAUCUCCUUUGUCUUGAACUUAGAUGAUUACAAGAUGAAACCUCAAUUGCCCCUUGCAAGUACCUAGCUAGAGAGACUAUGUUUUCUUUUUAGUGAGAAUACUAGCUACAUCUGGAUCCCCAGACCUCCCUCAAUGUCUCUGCAUAAAAACUACUCAAAGGCUCCAUUUUUCCAAGUCAAAUUCUCACCUUUGAUUCCCAAAUCUCCACUUUGUUAGCAUAGUCAAAAACCAAUAUUUUUGACUUGAAAAUAAGCCCCCUUUCUUGCCCUUUGGUCUUCUGAAGCAUGUGCACCGAAUUCCCUUGCAACUUAUAGCUAGAAAGUAGUUUGAACACAAGAGGAAUGGCCGAGCAAAUUGCAGAUUUUCGGCUACAAAACGCGCCUACACAAAACGCGGCAGAAACUCGCGUUUUGUAUACUCGCGUUUUCACUCUGGCCUUAUUUAAACUGCGAUUUUCUCCAUGAUGAAGACCGAACUGGCUUUUGUACAAAACACAAAGGUUGUAGCCCUUUGAGUUAGUUUUCGAAUGCUAUAAAAAUCAUCCAAAUCGGAGUUGUGCAGCCUGAGAUAUGGUCGAAAUACUAUCACCUAGUCAAACCUCUGUUUCCAAUUCCGACAACAGAGUGCAGCUUCUGUAUUCCGACUUUUUGUCCAUGAAAAUGGCAGAAUUGGAUUUCGAUGUCUUCAUACGAAUUGUAGGUCUCUUUCUUAGCUUUAAAAUGGUAUAAAGAUCACCUCAAUCCGAUAAGUGUAGCUCCAGAUAUGAUCAAAAUACCGAAGAGUGUCAAAACUGAUUUGUAUUGCAUUUCCUCACUUGAACGUUUUUCACUUCAUUCUUCUUGUUACCACUUGAAUUCAUCACCAAAUUUCGAUUUUUCAUCUCAUUUGACAUCCUUUGGUGAUUGAAUCAUCAUUCUUGCAUAAAAAUGAAGUUUUUACCAUUAAAAUCACUAAAAAUGCAAUAUUAUCCACUUUUACCAAAAAUAUAUAAUUUUACCAAAAACUACUUUAUUUUAUUUAUAAAACUAAAUAAUCAACUCAAAAUUAACUAAUAAAAUGCACUUAAAAAUACGUUAAAUAAACUCUUAUCAAAUACCCCCACACUUGAAUCAUUGCUUGUCCUCAAGCAAUAUGAAAUUCCAACCAUCAAUGAUCCAAAGAUUAAAAAUACACAUAUGUAGCAUUUCAACUUCAUUUCCUUGAAUCAAGGUAAAUAACCCUUAUGUGAUUUUUCAAUUAACCUCAAGUACUCAUAAUAUCAAGCAAAGAAGAGCCAAGUAUAUCAUAAUUUUACUAAUUCAACUCAAUUUCUCAUUUUUACCCAAUUUUACAAGCAAGCAACUCAUAUAGUCAAUAAAGAUGCUAACUAAUCUCAUGAUCAACUUCUUUAUUUUUCUUAAAGAGGGAUUUAUUUUCUUUUAUUUUCUCUUUUUUUUUCUUUUUUUUUGUUUUAUAUAUUUUAAGAGUUAAAUACUACUUAAGUUGUGAAAAAUACCUUUUGACGCGAAGAUCGACAUUUUUAGAUGAAGAUCACCGGUUACUCAAUAUUUCACAUACUCAAGUUGCUUUUCAUACUCUUAAUUCAAGUACUGUUUUACGCGAAAGUCGACAUUUGUAGAUGAAGACUCCCGGUUACUAAGUACAAGAACCAUUGGAGUAGAAUAACUCUUUUUUUUUUAAGAAACAAAAUAUAUAUAUAUAGAGAGAGAGAGAAAUAAUAAAAUUCCCUCUAAAAAGCAAUCAUGAGAAGAGAGUAACACUUAUUGACCAUAUUAAUUCCUUAACUUGUAAAAUCAAAUAAAAAGAAGAAAUUUCAUCAAAUAUGCAAAAUUUAGGCAUAAUUUUCUCCACUUUACUAGAUAUACUUUCCUACAAAUGUAAAAAUCAUAAUCACAUAAUAAUCCUUUCCAAGUUAACUGAGAAAAGAAGUUUCAAAACCACAUAUAUCUAUUUCAAAAAGGAUAAGUGACAAAAUUUUAUUUGUUUAUUUAUGAUUAUAUAUAUAUAUAUAUAUAAGUAUAAGGUUUUGGAAAAAUUUUGACAGAGUUUCCCCUUAAAAAUGGACUAAACUCCCUGCCAGCAAACCAUAAGAAACAAAAAUAUUUCCAACCUCAAACACAACUAAAAUCACAAGUACCACACAUUUCUUCCCCCACACUUAGAAUACACAUUGUCCUCAAUGUGUAGGGAAAGAAAAGAAAAGAAACAAAAGAAAGGAACAAGUGACUCCCCAAGUGAUAUGGCUGCGGUCCAGUGAAGCCUUGAAUCAUGAGCCAUCGACCACUCAACCAUCUACAGUCAAUGAUCUACUAGUUACUGCCACAAGUUCCAAUAUUCAAAAUAAGGAAUGUAAAUUAAUAUUUUUCAAACAAAAGAUAAAAAUAACACGCAAACAAGCAAACAAAAGAAAAGCCAGCCAAAGGGCAGCCUCAAUCAUCCUCUUCAUCGUCAUCUUCAUCAUCAUUGACGGGAGGUGGAUGUAAGCUUAGAUGAUGUUCAAUGUGGUCCAGGCGAGUAUCCAGUCGGGCUAAAUGAUGGUCGAUGUCGUCCAAGCGACCGAAAAGCCGCUGCCAAUUGGUUUGUGGCGGAGGAGGAGGUGGUGCUGCAGUAGAUGGUCCAGCUGCAUCGCGACCAUGUCUAGCCUUCUGUCUCCGCUCUUGAACAGGGCGUGGAAUGUUCCCCAUGCCAAUACCAAGCCGACGGAGAGUAGUAAGAGUCAUUUCAGCUCGUGGAGGAACAUUCUCCCGCCUCAUGCCUUCCAAGCGAACCUCAAAACGGGGGAAGAUUAAAGUCAGUAGACGAGGAAAUGAAAGUUUGAAGGAAGUUGUCUUACGCCUCACGUAGACCUAAUGUGGCUGAUGAUGAUGUUCGGCAAUGAAAUUCGAGCAUACGGGGAAGUUCGGUUGUGGAACAUGUAAUCAAGGAAGUAAAUAUCGCUCUUGGGAACCUCCGUGUGCCCCAUCUUCUUUAGGAUGACAUUGUGAGCCAUCAUGUAAAUGAUAAACCGAUGAUGAGGUUCAAAGACAUUCGCCAAAAUGGUCUCCUUCCUUGUAGAGCGAAAAGGUUGGUACUCAAGACCAAACCUAGCCAUGGCCAGCGAGGGAUCCCACCUCCUAUUCGGGGGAACAAACUCCUUCUUCAAAUCUACUGGACGGCCGUCAUCCAUACACCCCAAAAUAGCGGCCAAAUCUUGACGUGACAAGGUGAUUCGUCUUCCACGUACCCAGGACUCAACUAUUUCUCCACUAUGGCGCGCCUUACUCUCAAUGUUAGCGUAAAACUUGCGCACCAAGUUGGGGUAGUAAUGGUUUGGUAGGGUGAGAAUCGGUGCCCAUCCCAGCUGAGCAAAAGCCUCUGAAAUGUUAUACAUCAUCUCAACUGUUGGGUUGACAUGCAUCUCAAACAGGAACUCCAAGUUAGCAUGCUCCUCAUGCCAUUCUUGAUUCCUGCGAUUAUUGAACCUAGCACCGUCAAAUACCGAUCUACUCGCUCCACGGGAGGUGCCCUCACCAGGCUGUCGGUUAACUGGUGGAGGAGAAGGUGAAUUCUCCUCCUCAGUCACUUCCAUCUCCUCAUUAACCUCCCUCUCCUCACUACUAGAGGAUGAAAGUGCCGCUCUUCUUCCCCUUGGCAUAGUACCUAAAAGAAAAUGUUGCAAUUAACCACAUGUAUUUAGACACAAUGAACAAUUUGGCAAUGAAUAUCCUAAAAUGAUCCAAAUUAUCUCUAAUGUGUCCUUGCAAGUGACAAUUCGUCCAAUAACUAAUGUAAAAGACCGAAUCAAGAAGAGCCAUAAUUUAUGCCAAAAAUUGCUCAAAAUCACCAAUUGAAACAAGAUAUUGAAUAAUUAUAACCCAAUCAGUGAAAUUAACAACAAUUAUGAUUAUAAAUAUUUAAACUUAACAAUAAAAAUAUACUUAUAGUUAUAAUCAUGUUUAAGCAAAAAUUAAACCAAUUAACUCAUCAAAUCAACCAAAUUACUCACUAUACACAAUGUACAUGCUCAAACAUCACCAACUAGCCAUUCUUAACCAUAAUUAAACAUCACCAAUGGCUCAAAAACAUCCUAACUUCAUUUGUCGAUUUCCUUCAAAUAUAGCAAUUAUGAAUUUAUAAAGCAAUAAUGACCAACAAAUAGCUACAUUUAAACUCAUAAACAUAUUUAAACAAUCUCAAUGAGCAUGAAUAAAUUCAAAAAAAAAAGUCAAAUACAUCAUCAAAUUUUCGACAUUAAAAGAUGUCAGAUAGCUCAGGAUAAAAAAUAUGACUUUCAAAAAUCAAAAGAUUUGAUGAAGAAACUUACCUCAAUCACGUAGAAGGAUGUUUGGUGAUGCUAAAAAUGCAAAAAGCCCUAUUAAACAACCUCCAAUUGAAGAAAUUAGAGUUGAAGAACCCUAACCUUCAAUCCUUCAAAAACUGAAUUUGAGGUGUUUUUCUUGGAUUAUAAUCAGUUAAAAAGGUUGUAUGAAGCUCAAAAGGUGUUGGGUGAUGAUUUCUAGCAAGAUUAUGAGUAAAAAUGAAGAUUUGUGAGUUGGGUAGAAAGGGAGGAAAAACGCGCCUGAAAAAUGGAGAAGAGAAGAGGAAAUGAAGCUGAAAUCGCGUUUCUGGAGGCUAUAUUCGGACACAUAAAACGCGACUAGAAACGCGCCUUCAACUCGAGUUUUCUAAGUCGCGUUUCCUGCACAAAUCUUGCAGGAAUGAAAACGCGGCUCUGUGUGAAAAAGCGACUUUGAGUCGCGUAUUUUAAGUCGCGUUUUUUUAUUAUGAUCCAGGCUUGAAAACGUGAUUUAUCUGAGAAACGCGACUCUAUGUCGCAUUUUUAAGCGCGUUUUCUUCAUUGUGGUUGCAGAAUUGGAAACGCGUUUUGAUGAAAACGCGACAAAAAGCGAGUUUUUAUGCUAGGCGCGUUUUCUUCUGCAAUUUUUUUGCAGAAAAUAAACUUUGAACAAUUACCAUUGGUACCCCAAUUACUCAAAAUGCAUCAUGGAUCAUUUGUUUGCAAAACUUAUCAAUGUGCGCACAUGUAAAAUGAUAAAAACAUGUAUUUUACCCCUUUUCGAUGGAUCAAAUACACCUUUAACUUUCAUGAAGGGGAUUGAUCAAAGUUCGCAUUUUUUACCUCAAAUGGUCAUUCUUGCUUCCAAUUGUCAACCCUAUAAUACAAAAAUAACAACUUAACUUAAAAAAUUAUUCAAACCACAAAAUCACACCAAAUUAACACAUAUAACAUAAACAUUGGGUUGCCUCCCAAUUAGUGCUCUUGUUUAUAGUCAUUGGCUCGACUCACAUAUUAAGGUUCUUAAAUUGAAGAGGGCUCGCCCAAAAGACAUAUAAGCCCAUUGGGUACGAUUUCACCUGCCAAGUAGGGUUUCAAUCGUUGUCCAUUGACCUUAAACCUUUCAUUUCUUGAAUUUGCCACUUCAACCGCUCCAUAGGGAAAUACUUGAGUGACUUCAAAUGGUCUAGACCACCUUGACUUCAAUUUUCCUGGAAAUAACCUCAGGCGUGAAUUGAACAAAAGCACUUUUUGCCCUACCUGAAAUUGUUUAGGAAUAAUGUGCUUGUCAUGCCAAUAUUUGAUCUUUUCUUUAUAAAUUUUGGCAUUUUCGUAUGCAUGUAACCGGUGUUCCUCCAAUUCACUCAGCUCAAGUAAUCUCCUUCCACCUGCAAGAUUAAAAUCCAUAUUAAUUGCUUUAAUAGCCCAAUAAGCUUUAUGUUCAAUCUCUACAGGUAAGUGACAAGAUUUUCCAUAGACUAAACGAUACGGCGACAUCCCUAAGGGAGUCUUAAAUGCCGUUCGGUAAGCCCAUAGUGUGUCAUCUAGCUUUGUAGCCCAAUCCUUGCGUGAUUUAUUCACAGUUUUCUCCAAAAUGAGAUUUAUCUCAUGAUUAGCUAGCUCCGCUUGUCCAUUGGCUUGAGGAUGGUACGGGAGUGAUGUCUUAUGCCUACAACCAUAUUUAAACAAUAAGGAAUCCAGUUGUUUGUUACAAAAAUAUUUUCCUUCAUCACUUAUUAUGGCCUUAGGUAUACCAAAUCUACUGAAAAUAUUCUUUUUAAGGAAUCUAAGUACAAUCUUAGAGUCAUUAGUAGGUGAAACGAUUGCUUCUACCCAUUUAGAAACAUAAUCCACUGCUACUAAGAUGUAUUUAUUAUUAAAAGAACUAGAAAAUGGUCCCAUAAAGUCAAUACCCCAUAUAUCAAAUAAUUCAACUUCUAAGAAGGUAGUUAGGGGCAUUUCAUUCUUUUGAGAUAUAUUUCCAGUUCUUUGGCAUGCUUCACAACUUUUAACAUAUUUUCGAACAUCUCGAUACAUAGUUGGCCAAUAAAACCCUGAUUGCCAUACCCUUGCCACAGUUUUUGAAGUGCUAAAAUGACCACCUGUUUCAAGGUUAUGACAAUGAUAUAAAAUAUUAUGUACCUCAUUUUCGGGAAUACAUCUACGUACCAUACAAUCGGCACAAUGUUUAUACAGCAAUGGUUCCUCCCAAAAGUAACUUUUGACAUCAUGUAAGAAUUUCUUCUUUUGAUGGUAAUUAAAUCCCCUUGGAAUCUCUCCACUUACCAAAAAAUUAGCAAUAUCAGCAUACCAUGGAGAAUUGAUAAUUGCUAGGACAAACUCAUCUGGGAAAUUCUCUUGAAUAGGAACUUGAUCCUUAACUGGAAUAUAUUCUAGGCGUGAUAGAUGAUCCGCUACUAGAUUCUCCGUUCCCUUUUUGUCUUUUAUCUCCACAUCAAAUUCCUGCAAUAAAAGAAUCCACCGAAUUAAUCUUGGUUUUGCAUCUUUUUUAUGUAACAAAUAUUUAAGAGCCGCAUGGUCCGUAUAUAUAAUAACUUUAGAUCCUACUAAAUAAGAUCUAAAUUUAUCCAAAGCAAAUAUCACUGCCAAUAGCUCUUUUUCUGUAGUUGCAUAAUUGAGUUGUGCCUCAUUUAGCAACUUGCUAGCAUAGUAAAUGACGUGCAACCAUCCUUCUUUCUUUUGUCCCAAAACUGCUCCAACCGCAUAAUCACUUGCAUCACACAUCAAUUCAAAUGGUAGUGACCAAUCGGGCGAAGUUAUAAUUGGGGCCGAAAUCAAUUCCUUCUUCAACCUUUCAAAUGCAACCAAACAAUUGUCAUCAAAUUGAAAAGGGAUAUCUUUACAUAAUAAAUCACAUAAUGGCUUUACUAUUUUAGAAAAAUCUUUAAUAGAACGUCUAUAAAAGCCAGCAUGUCCUAAAAAACUCCGUAUCCCCUUGACAUUGCUUGGGGGUGGCAAUUUUUCGAUAACUUCUAUUUUGGCUUUAUCCACCUCAAUUCCCUUGGAAGAAAUCUUGUGCCCUAAGACAAUUCCUUUUUUUACCAUAAAAUGGCAUUUCUCCCAAUUCAAUACAAGAUUUGUUUUCUCGCAUCUUUGCAAAAUCAAUUCUAAAUUAUGAAGACAAUGGUCAAAAGAUGAACCAUACACAGAAAAAUCAUCCAUAAAUAUCUCCAUAAUUUUCUCAAUAUAAUCAGAAAAAAUAGCCAUCAUGCAUCGUUGAAAAGUUGUAGGAGCAUUGCAUAAACCAAAUGACAUUCUUCUAAAGGCAAAAGUGCCAUAAGGACAUGUAAAUGUAGUCUUCUCUUGAUCCUCUGGAGCUAUAGCUAUUUGAUUAUAUCCUGAAAAACCAUCAAAAAAACAGUAAAAUUCAUAUCCAGCUAUUCGCUCCAAUAAUUGAUCAAGAAAUGGUAGGGGAAAAUGAUCUUUUCUUGUUACCGUAUUUAACUUACGAUAAUCAAUACACACUCUCCACCCUACCACAAGUCUAGAUGGAAUUAAUUCAUCAUUUUUACCCACGAUUGUAGUCAUUCCACCUUUCUUUGGUACCACAUGAAUUGGACUAAUCCAAACACUAUCGGAGAUAGGAAAAACUAUACCUGCGUCAAGCCACUUAAGAAUUUCAUUUCUUACCACCUCUUUCAUGUUUGGAUUGAGUUUUCUUUGUGUUUCCACCACUGGUUUGCAACCGUUCUCCAAUAAAAUUCGAUGCAUGCAUAUAGAAGGACUUAUACCUUUAAUGUCUGAAAUUGUCCAUCUAAUUGCCUUCUUACGCCUUCUUAGAACUCUUAACAAUUUUGCACACUGCUCAUCAUCAAGGUCAGCACUAACAAUUACAGGUAAAGUGCUAUUUUCUCCAAGAAAUUCAUACCUUAGAUGAGUUGGAAGUGGCUUAAGCUCUAACCUUGGAGGUUCAAUUUCUGAAGGUUGUGAAAACCCUUUUCCUUGGCCAAGACUUUCAUACAAAUUACCCCUUUUAUAAGGUGCUUGAAAAUCCAAGUACUUGGCCAAUUCUUCAAUUUCUUCACAAACAUCUUCUUGCUUACCUAAACUCAUUAAACAAUACUCAAGAGGAUCUAAGUCAAAGUUGACUUGACUCAUCUCUUGGGUUAGUUUAUCAAUUGUGCCAAUAGAAUAAGCAAGAUCGAUAAAAGAAGGGUAUUUUUUUUAUUUCAUUCAAAUUAAAUUUUACCUCUUCUUCACCUACUUGAAACUUAAGCUUGUUAUUUUUGACAUCAAUAAUAGUACCUGCAGUAGCUAGAAAUGGUCUACCUAGAAUAAUUGGCAUAGAUAUAUCUUCUUUCAUAUCUAAUACCACAAAAUCCACUGGAAUGGUAAAUUUUUGAACUUUUAUCAAUACAUUCUCCAACACUCCCAAUGGAUAUCUAAUAGACCGAUCCGCUAGUUGCAAAGUAACAUUAGUGCGUUUAAGCUCAUGCAAAUCCAAUUGUCUAGCCACCGUUAAAGGUAUUAAUGAUACACUAGCACCAAGAUCACACAAUGCCUUAGAAAAAUCAACGUUACCUAUGGUGCAAGGUAUAGAAAAACUCUCUGGAUCCUUCAACUUCGGUGGUAGUUUAUUUUGAAUAAUUGCACUACAUUCCUCCGUUAAUGCUAUUGUUUCGCAGUCUUCCAACUUUCUUUUUCUAGUUAUGAUUUCCUUGAGAAAUUUCGCAUAAGACGGAAUCUGUAAAAUAGCAUCGGCAAAAGGAAUGUUAAUGUGCAAUUGUUUGAAAAGUUUAACAAAUUUUUCAAAAUCUUUAUCAAACUUAUUUUGCUUUAAUCUUUGUGGAAAUGGAACCGCAGGAGGUAUUGGAAUGGUAGCGGAAGAUGAUGGUUGAUUUUUUCUUGAUUUCUCCCGGCUAUUUUCUUCCACUAUCGCCUCUUGGUUCCUCUGCUUUUCUUCUUGUUUUUCAUUCUCAUCUUUCUCAACUUCCAUCACUGGAGGAUCUUCUAAUUGCUUACCACUACGAAGAGUAAUGGCUUUGACAUGCUCCUUAGGAUUUACCUCUGUUUUGCUAGGUAAUUUUUCUUGAUUACGAUUAUUCAAAGAACUAGCAAUUUGACCAAUUUGGACCUCUACAUUCCUGUACAUUGUAGUGAGCUGGUCCAAUCUUCCUUCUAUUCGCUCAAAUCUGUCUGAAGUAACUUUUGCGAGCUUUUCCACUGCCAUUUCCCAACCAGGUUUAGUUUCAGCUUGUUGUUGCCUUGAUUGAAAUUCCGGUGGAUUUGCUGGCCUUGGUUGAUUUCCUUGAUCCUUCCAUCCAAAGUUUGGAUGAUUUCUCCACCCCGGAUUGUAAGUAUUCGAGUAGGGGUUAUUUUGAGCAUUACGAUUGUAAUUAUUGACGAAUUGUACCUGCUCAGAAUCAACACACUCAUUAGUAUCAUGUUCACCUCCACAUAUAGAACAACAUGCUACAUGUGCAUUAGAUGAACUUGGACCAACUCCACCUUGUCUACUUAGCAACUUCAUCACAUUAUUCAUUUGAGCACUUAGCAUAUUGAGAGUGUCCAUUUCUAUCAUACUUGCGUGACGUCUUGUAUUACCUCUCUCAUUGGCCCAUUGGUAGUUAUUUGCUGCCAUUUCUUCUAUCAAAUUAUGAGUUUCUUGGGGUGAUUUACCCAUUAAAGCUCCACCUGCAGCUGCAUCGAUUAUAGUUUUAAUAGAAAAAACUAAACCAUUAUAGAAGGUUUGUAUGAUUAACCACUCCGGCAGUCCAUGAUGUGGAUAUUUUCGAAGCAAAUUUCUAAACCUUUCCCAUGCCUCAUAUAAUGAUUCACCUUCUAAUUGACUAAAACUAGUGAUAUCCAUUCUAAGCUUAGCAGUCUUAUCUGGUGGAAAAUACUUAUUUAAGAAUGCUCUUGAUAAAUCAUCUUAUCCGGUGAAAGUAUUAGGAGCGUGAGAGUGUAACCAAAGUUUGGCCUUAUUUCUCAAUGAAAAUGGGAACAAUCUUAGCCUUAUAGCAUCAUCACUAACUCCAUUCAUUUUAAUUGUAUCACAAAUUUCCAAGAAUGUAGCUAAGUGUGUAUUAGGAUCUUCUACUGCAUUACCUCCAAAUUGAGAUUGUUGAACCAUUUGGAUAAGUGAUGGUUUAAUCUCAAAGUUGUUAGCAUUUACCGAACGACUUGCUAUGCUCGUUUGAGAUCCUUGUGUUCCCGGUAGAGCAAAAUCUCGUAGAACUCGCCCAUUUGCUUCGUUUUCUGCCAUUUCUUUUUCAAAUGGAAGCUCUAUUAAGAUUUCCUCUAUUGAUUGCCAAAUCCCUUGUUCCUCUUGCUAUAGUGUGUUCCUCCUUUGUCUAUGUAGUGUCCUCUCAAUUUCUGGAUCGAAAAGUGCAACUUCUCGAGACGCCCGGUGCAUACACUACAAACAAAAAUAAGAGAAAUUUUGCAGUUUAAAUUCAACAACUUGAAUAAAAAUAAUGAAAAAUAUCUAAAUUAAUAAAGAUGAUUAGGCCCUAAUAUUGCCGCUCCCCGGCAGCGGCGCCAAAAACUUGACUGGAUUUUUUAUAUCAAUGCAAGUUCAAUUCUGAUUUUACACCCAUUGGACUGCAAAUAUACAGGUCGCAAUUGUAGUACAAGAUGUGUAUCGGGUCGAUCCCACGAGAAGCAAUUAAAACAAUUAUUAGACACUAAUUUACUCUAUUAUUUAGACUCACAAUAAAUUUGAGCAAAAAAUUCAGAAUUUAAUUCAACUACAAAAAUUCUUAACUAGAUAAAUGCAAUUUCACAAUAGGAGUAGAAUUCACUAAAUAUUAAGAUUUAGGGAUGUAGAUUCCACAUAUAACACAAAAGAUCUAAAACGAAUGAAUUUAACACUUGUUACUACUCUUGUUUGACCAAGGAUUCAUUUCCAACAAUACCAAAAUCACAUUCUCAUGAUAAUAAUGGGUUAAAACAGAUUAGUUUUUCCUAAUCUCUUGGUAAAUACUAAAUCUGUUUUAUGCACACAGGAAAUGUAGAUUUCAUCCACUUGAAUGUAUUUCUAUUCUCAUGAAUAUACUACUCAAGCUCUACUUAUGUCAUUCCAUUAUUGUUACCAUUUCUCAAUGAGUAAAAACAACUAUAAAUCUGCUAUUGGUGAUCAAACAACAAUAAGUAAUCCAACAUACACAAGUAGAUAGGUUAAUACAAGAUAUAACAAGUAUAAAUCACAAUCACUUCAUAUCACUUGGCCAUAAGUUUCAUCUACUCCCUAGAUAAAGGAAAUUAGCUACUCAUGAAUGAUGAAACACUCAUAACUUCAUUAAUGUAAAUCGUCAUGAGUUACAAAUACAAAAAGAGUAAAGAAAGUCUUAACCAAAAUAUGGUGAAGCCUUCCAAAAAUCUCCUUUGUCUUGAAUUUAGAUGAUUACAAGAUGAAACCUCAAUUGCCCCUUGCAAGUACCUAGCUAGAGAGACUAUGUUUUCUUUUUAGUGAGAAUACUAGCUACGUCUGGAUCCCCAGACCUCCCUCAAUGUCUCUGCAUAAAAACUACUCAAAGGCUCCAUUUUUCCAAGUCAAAUUCUCACCUUUGAUUCCCAAAUCUCCACUUUGUUAGCAUAGUCAAAAACCAAUAUUUUUGACUUGAAAAUAAGCCCCCUUUCUUGCCCUUUGGUCUUCUGAAGCAUGUGCACCGAAUUUCCUUGCAACUUAUAGCUGGAAAGUAGUUUGAACACAAGAGGAAUGGCCGAGCAAAUUGCAGAUUUUCGGCUACAAAACGCGCCUACACAAAACGCGGCAGAAACUCGCAUUUUGUAUACUCGGGGUUUCACUCUGGCCUUAUUUCAACUGCAAUUUUCUCCAUGAUGAAAACCGAACUGGCUUUUGUGCAAAACACAAAAGUUGUAGCCCUUUGAGUUAGCUUUCGAAUGCUAUAAAAAUCAUCCAAAUCAGAGUUGUGCAGCCUGAGAUAUGGUUGAAAUACUAUCACCUGGUCAAACCUCUGUUUCCAAUUCCGACCACAGAGUGUAGCUUCUGUAUUCCGACUUUUUGUCCAUGAAAAUGGCAGAAUUAGAUUUCAAUGUCUUCAUACGAAUUGUAGGUCUCUUUCUUAGCUUUAAAAUGGUAUAAAUAUUACCUCAAUCCGAUAAGUGUAGCUCCAGAUAUAAUCAAAAUACCGAAGAGUGUCAAAACUGAUUUGUAUUGCAUUUCCUCACUUGAACGUUUUUCACUUCAUUCUUCUUGUUACCACUUGAAUUCAUCAUCAAAUUUCGAUUUUUCAUCUCAUUUGACAUCCUUUGGUGAUUGAAUCAUCAUUCUUGCAUAAAAAUGAAGUUUUUACCAUUAAAAUCACUAAAAAUGCAAUAUUAUCCACUUUUACCAAAAAUAUAUAAUUUUACCAAAAACUACUUUAUUUUAUUUAUAAAACUAAAUAAUCAACUCAAAAUUAACUAAUAAAAUGUACUUAAAAAUACGUAAAAUAAACUCUUAUCACUAACCCUCGUCCCGCCUGGUAUCAGAGCCAGAGGGGGAAGUGGGGUGAUGGCUAUUUUUCUUUACUUAUUAUGAUAUUGUUAGUGCAGAUCUACAAGUUUAUAUCUUUCUGAUGAGAUUUAUUAACUUCAUGAUUACCAUCUUUCUUUCUUUAUUUAUGCUACUGAUAGUGUAUAUCUACAAGUUUAGAUCUAAUUAGAUGAGACUGGUUAACUUCGUGAUUACAAUAUAUUCAAGCUUAUUAUAAUUUUGAUAGUUUUGAUUUCAUGACUUUAGAUCUGAUUGAAUGACAUGGAUCCAAUAAGUGCCAACGUCCGAUCCAGGUAAAAUCAUGAGGAAUUUGGCUCUGUAGGGGCGUUGAGGUUCUUAGGGUAUGAUGCUCUAGGACGGGGAAGUGUCACAAGAUCAGAUCCAGGGAAAAUGGGUUUCUACUAUCAAUCUUAUGAUUUUGUUUGGAAAUAUGGUCGUCAUGCAUAGUUAAUCUUUCUCAAAAGAUUUAGAUCUAUUCUUGUAGGUUUAUUUUACUAUCUUUAUUAUGAUGGAAAUAUGGUCGUCAUGUAUAGUUAAUUUUUCUCAAAAGAUUAGAUCUUUUCUUGUAGGUUUCACACUAUCCUUUAUAAUCUGAUUAAGAAAAAUAGUUUAUCCUCCAUGGAUCCUGAAGGAUUCUGUGCCAAAGGGAAGAGGAUCAUAAGUUGUUUAAAUCUUUUUCUGCGUUUAAAUUUUUAUUUUCUUGUUUUAUUUUCCAAUGACUUCUCCAAUUAAAGCGUACUUCAUAAAUUCUAGUUCUUCUUCAAACAACAAACCUUUGAAUAAACUUCAAACUAGAAUUGCUCAAAUUGAGCAGUCAAUCCUUAUUCAAAGAAAACUAGAAAACAAACCUUCUAAAUUUCAGAUUAAUGGACAAAACAUUAGAUCUGAAUUCUUUGCAAACCACAACUAUUUAAAAAAAAUAAUUUUUUGAUAAAUACCAGGGAGAAGCCCGAAAAAAUAUUCAAGAAAACUUUUAUGACUUUUUGACAAAAACAAAACAAAAUAUUCAUUUCUUUGACUGGUAUGAGUCCCAAACUUCUCAAGAGUCAUCCUCACCAAAACUCAUAAGUCCAGUCCAAACAACCAUAUCAAAACCUGCAUCCUCUAUGUCAAAAACCAUAAAAACACAAGUUCCUACACCAGAUCUCAUAGAUCCGGUCCAAACUAAGCCAAAAUCAAAAGAUCUAUCCAUAGAUCUGCCUCAAACAACCCAUAUAUCUUCUCAUAAAUAUUCAGAAUCCACUGAUCCAUCAAAAUCUAUUCAUAUAAACCCAGCAGAUAUAGAUCUACCAGAUUCUCCUGUGGAUCUAUUAAACCCAAUAGAUUUACCAAACCAAGAUUUUGUUGAAACUUCAAAACUUUUGAUUCCUGGUCAAUCAUUACAUAAUUCUGUUAAUACUACUAGUCUUGAUAUCGGAAAAGACAUAGGAUAUUCCUCAAUAAAUGUCUUAAAUAAAAAUCAACCUCGUAUCAAACCUAUAACUGAUGAAAAUAUUCAAACAAAAAUUAAUUCCUUCAAAUCAGUUAAUAAACAAGAAACUGCUGAUAUUCCCUCUCAACCUUUUUCCAAACCAAUGGUUAUUAGAAAUUCACCAACAAAUAUUAUUUCUUUUAAACAAAAAAACCAGUUAGUUGAAACCCAGUCAACUAAAGAUAUAAUUCAAAAUUCUUUACAAAUAUUUAUUUCAAACUUAUUCCAUGAUUUUAAUAUCCCUUCCGAUAAUGAACAUAUUUCUCGGAAAAAUUCAAAAGAAAUUCCUGCAAACAAUAAUCAGGAAGAAAUUCCUAAAUUUUCUAUAUAUUCUUUCAUAACUUAGAAACAGUUGCAGCUUGAUAAGCUAAAGGUACUUAAUAUUGAGUACCCAAGCCUCAAGGUGGAAUCAUGGACAGAGGAAACAUGGUUAUCCAGCAAAUACAAGGGACAAACUGAGGAGACAUGGAUCUUCAACAAAUUAAAGGAACAUCCUCAAAUACAAGGAGUAUCUGAAAAAUCAGAUCUGACAAAUCUAGCUAGAUCUCGAAUCAAUACUCCAAGAUCUAUCAGACCCAGCAAAUGGGGUCAGAAAAUCCAAAUAUUCAAGAAGAAUCAAUACAUCCAACCUUUAUAUUCUUGGGAGAAUAGAAUUGAUCAUCCUUCUAUUCAAACAAGAAAUAAAUGGCAAGCUAUCAGACACAUCCGGCGGAAAAUUAGACGCAUCGAGCAAAAACCUUAGACAAGAUCUUCACUGAACAAAUCAGUCACCAAACAAGAGAUUCAGGCAGAGUCUCCUUUGACAAAAUUGGUCAUUCAUGAAAUUGAAAUCAGGAUUGCCCAAGAGGCAGCCUAUACCCAUGCCAAGAAGAUUCUUACAAUCUAUCCAGAGAAAUACCUUUUCAAUCUUUUUACCCAAUUCAUCCGCAAACCUCCUCUUCCAAAUACCUACUUCUCAAACUUGCUUUUCAAACCUCCAGAAAAUCAAAAAUUUUGGAUUGAACAAUACCUUCCAAUUCCUUUACACAAACAAGAGUUCGAAAUUCAAAGAGCUUCCUUGAUCAAUACCAUACAAAACAAUCAAGGGUCUUCUAUUCUAAAUAAAUCAUAUUCAAACCCUUUUUUACAAAAUUAUACUCCCAACCAAAAAAACAUCCAAAAUCUAUACCACCCUCAAAUGAUUCAUUCUGAUAUUUUCAGAAUAAAAUCCAAUAUCCUUCAACACUCAUACAAUAAGGAAGACAUCUAUGAAUGGAGCAUAGAUGGGAUAUUCAGAUACAAUCUUCCGAUGACAUCUCAACAGAUGACAACCAUAGCUAUGUUUAAUCAAAUAUUACGUGGAUGCAAUCAACUAAUUGCUCAUGUCCUAUUCAUAGGAUUUAUUGGGCAAUUUAAAGGCUGGUGUGAAGAACAUCUCAUCAUUGGAGACAGCAGCAGAAAUAUUAUUCAUAACAUUCUAGUCACAACCAACAAGGAUGAAUCUGAUAUACAAGAUGGGAACAUCCUGCCAGAAACAAUGUUAUUCAAUAUCCUAGGUAUAUUCACAUCUGGUGAUGAUUCUGGAAUAGCCGAAGGGGAUUCAUCAAAACUAUUCCCAAGCUCCAGAAGAUAUCAACAUAUAUUCUUGACAAGGUCAGACAGAAACAAAGUUCACAACAAAGAUUUCUCCAAAAGGCUUAUUGGUUCACAAUAUGUGAACGAUAAGCCUUGGGAAGAAACAACUUGUGAACAGGACCAACAAGCAGGCUGGUUUUCCAGACAACCUGUAGAAGAACAGUCCCGAGAGAGAAAUCUUGGAUCCUCUUACAAACAGUUUGGGCCAUUGAGUUGCUAUACAAGGCCCAAUAAAAAGUCCAAACCUAUGGGCCUUAAAACCCUUUCUUCUUCCACAAAACAGCUAACCUUAUUUAUUCCCAAAACUCAUCCACCCAGAAACACAACCCAACAUUAUACAACCAAAAUUCCAAUAUUUUGAGACUAGCAGCCCAAUUGUCAAAUCCUCUAAUCGAAUCAGAUGUUAUCAAAUCUGAACGAACAGAAGAUUAUGACAAAUACAUAUCAAUAUCUUCUUUCCCAAUCAUUAGUGAUGAAGAUGGAAAAGAAGGACAUAUGAUGACAAAAAAUCAGAACCUUCUUUUCAGCAUCAUUAAAGACAUUCUUGAAACAAAACAACCAUAUUUAAACGAAAUUUCGGAUCCUUUGAAAGGUCUUCUCUUUGACAUUCUAGAAAAAAUUCAUAGACAAAAUUCUUGUAAACCAAAUACUGAUGGUUUCCAAGAUAUUCUUGACAAAUUUUUUAUUCAACCCAUGACUUUACAAAAAGAAACCAUUAACCCUGAAAACCUGAAUAACAAUUCUCAGUUAUUUCAGGAAUAUUCGAUCCAAAUAUGAUUACUAAUUAUUGGUAAUUAUGUAAUCAAAACAAAAGCCCUAGUUGAUAUAGGGUCAGACCAAAACUAUAUUCCUAAAAACCUUAUUCCAAUCCAAUUUUUAGAAUUCCUUAGAAUAACCAAUAAUCCUAAACUUGAUAUUGAAUUCAAAUUUCCAAAUAUACAAGACCAAUUCUCAGAUACCUUCUUCUGGACUGAGUAUUUGACUAACCCUAUCAUCUUAGGAGCAUCAUUUCACAAUCAAUUGGCUCCUUUCCAAAUUAUCUACAAAGGGAUAAUAUCCCAAUUUUUUAAACUAACUAAUUCUUUGUGCAGAAACAUGGCCGGUGAAGGAAGUUCAUCAUCAUAUAAUUUAGAAAAGACAAAUUAUCUCUUCGAUGGAUACUCUACUUGGGAACAAACAUCCCAUGAAGAAAUAUCCAGCAUUCAAGCUAAUAAGGGCCAAACAUCAUCAAAUCAAAAUCAAACAAGUUGGGAGUGGAUCCCCGAGGAAUCAUCUUCAAACUGGAUACCUGCGGAAUCUAUUUCAAAUUGGGUACCCAAUGAAACAAUCUCAAAUCAAUUCCAAGCAAUUGAUGAGACUUCAACAAUAAACUGGAUUCAGGAAAUUGAAGAAGAAGAAAAUCCAUUUCUAAUUCCUGGAGAUCCAACGCAACCUUUUCAAAUCAAACUCAGGGAUGAUGCCUUCUCACAUCUUUGGAUGGAGUAUCAUUAUCUCGAGAAUGAAAGGAAAGAAUCCAGGAUCAAAAACUUUGAUAUCAUAUACUUCAACAGGGAUACUGGUGAAAGAAUCCCUUGCUACAACAUCCACAGGUAUAAUCACAUCGGAUCAGCAAACUCAAAUUAUUCAGUACAAACAUUGAAAGAACAAUGUUUCAUACAAAGGAAAAACAUUCAAAGAAUGAUUAUCAACAAAUAUCUGCUUGAAAAACAAGGGAUCAAUGCACGAUAUUACAAGCAAUGGAUCAAAGAAGCAUUAGAAGAAUUAUCAGCAAUGAUUUGCUGAAUAAAUGCUUUAGAAAUAUUCAAGCUGGCUCAAUCGGAUAUUCAAGCUGGCACAAACAGAACAAAAUAUAGAAAAAAUCAUUUUUUACUGUAGCACCAGAAGUACUGUAGCGGUCCGGCAAGUUACUGUGCAUGCACGGCAACAAAAGACAAACAAAGAACUGUAGCGAGCACUGUAGCAGGACUGUAACGGUACUGUAGCAAACACUGUAACGGUACUGUAGCACUACGGGAAAAUUUGCUAUAAAUACCCCUCAAACCCAACACCUUUCAGACACCAUUUCUUCAAGACUACUUCUCUCUCUAGCUUGAAGAAACUCUCCUCCCUCUCUCUACAAACAAGUUCUUAGCUUUUAUAUUUUAGUUGUUAGGAUUAAACAAAGGAGCAAGCCCUUGUGCGAGCUUCAUAUCUGUGAGCUUUCUUUUCUUUUCUUGUAUUUUAAUUCAAUCAAAUGGUUGGCUAAGCUACCUACAUUCAUAUUCAUUUACUUGUUUUUAUUUGUUUUAAUUAUACUAACAAUCAAUGGUCGGUUAUACCGCCUGAGCUAACACUAACUUGUUUUUACAUUCUAUUAUUUACAUUCUAUUUAUACAUGGUUGGUUCAACCGCCUAUACUAACUAGUGGCAGUCCGACUGCGAUCCACUUCCUUACUCUUAUGCUUUUUAUUUCUUUAAUCUUCUUUAAGUUCCUGGUUUAAGGGGCUAUGGUAUAGGAGCCAGAGGGGAAAUCCUCUCUGAUCCAUUUAAUAAAUGGAUCUAAAUGGAUUAAAUAAAAAUCAAUUAUCCAUUUAUAAUCCAUUUAUAUAUUUUGGUUACUUUUUUUUUGUAUUACCAAGUAACUGUACCUAUUCCUGAUCCUACCAAGAAAGAAUUUCAUGAAAAUACUAAAGUAUUUCCAUGUAACUGUCAUCUUAUAUGAUCCCAGACAAAGAGGACAAUCAAAUGAACAAUAUUGCUGGUUGAACGAUGUAAUGUACAAGACUUAUGCAGCAAGAGCCAUCGUCCUUGAAGAUUUCCAUGCAAGCUCUAGCUUGAACAGCAUCCAAUCUCUUCCAAGAAGAUCCCUCUUCUUUGAUAUUGAUUGUCUCUCCUUUAGGAGGAACAGAUGAAGGAGCACCUUCAUCACUGGCCUCGACUGCCUUCCUACUCACAAUGCGGUAUAUUUCUGUAGUAAGCACUGGUAAUGGCACAGUACCUGCAGCGGGCAAAGGAAGCAUAUGAAUGUAGAAGUUAAAUGCUUUACAAUUUAUGUAUGCAAUUCCAACUACUUGUCAUAAUUCAGAAAUGCAUUACAGCUCAAGUACUUGAUUUCAGCUGUAGUGCAUGUGAGCUAAAUACUCCUUUAACUUUGGCAUUAAAAAAAUACACAAAAAUUAGAUUUAAACACAAAAGUUUGCAAGAAAUAAGAACAAACAGAAAAAGUGAUAGAGGAUGCUAUAAAGAAAUGCUAAUAUGAUUAAAAUUUUCUUGGUAGAGAUAUGGUCUAAACAAAAGUGCAGAGAAAGUAUGCAUGCUAAAAAAUUACACACAACAUGCAUGUAAUAUCUGUAAGGCAAAAGUCCAGAAGCAAGGCACUUGAGACAAUCCCUUGGAAUGGAAACAUACAAAGACCAACCUGUGACCUUCAAGCUCAUAAAAUCACCAAAAAAAAAAAA
rnacentral:lncRNA from 1 species